UGUCUCAACACCUUAGCAUUCUUGACACCGUUCUUGAUGGAAGGUAAAUUUUAUAUUUCGACAUUUCAGUAUUAAAAUAACAAUCGCCAUGUAAAUACCUUUAAUUCUGAUCUUGUUAUAUGCUUUCUAGUUCUUCAAAGGACUCCUUAGUAAGAAGCUAUAAAAGGAGUUUCAAUGGAUUCGCAGCUCAUCUCACGGACAAACAAAUAGAAAAAGUGGCUAGUACGUAAUGCCAAAUACUUGUGUAAUUAAGCGGAAUAUAUAUUUAUUUUAAAAAAAAUUUAUAAUGUUUUAUAUGUUAUACAGGCAUGGAGGGAGUGGUGUCUAUUUUCCCAAAUAGACUUCUCCAACUUCACACAACCAGAUCUUGGGACUUCAUGGGAUUUUCUGAAACCGUUAAACGGAAUCCCACGGUUGAGAGUGAUACUAUUAUAGGUGUUAUUGACUCUGGAAUCUGGCCUGAAUUACAAAGCUUUAGUGAUGAAGGUUUUAGUUCAAUUCCAAAAAAAUGGAAAGGUGUUUGUCAAGGCGGCAAAAAUUUCACUUGCAACAAGUUAGCUUCUUAAUUAUAUUAUUCUCUUUAUUUGAUUAAACUCAAACUUCAUCUCUCCAGGGCCCCCUUUGGUGUCUGUUAUUGAACUAGUCUUUGGUUUUGUUGCAACUUGAUUUUUACAGGAAGGUAAUUGGAGCUCGAGCAUACAAUUCAAUUGAUAAAAAUGAUGAUUCUGCAAGGGACACUGUCGGUCAUGGAACCCACACAGCCUCCACAGCAGCUGGCAACAUAGUAGAGGAUGCGAGCUUUUUUGGGGUGGCAUCAGGAAAUGCAAGAGGAGGGGUUCCUUCUGCAAGAAUAGCCGUGUACAAAGUUUGUACUGCAGAUGGAUGCACCAUUGCAGAUAUCUUGGCUGGCUUCGAUGAUGCCAUUUCUGAUGGGGUUGACAUCAUUACUGUAUCAUUAGGAUCCGUUGCUGGAGCCUUUUUUUUGGAUAAGGACCCCAUAGCAAUUGGUUCUUUUCAUGCUAUGGUGAAAGGUAUUUUAACAUUGAAUUCUGCAGGAAAUAAUGGUCCAUCACCAGGUUCAGUCCUAAGCAUCGCUCCAUGGAUGGUCAGUGUAGCUGCAAGCACCACAGACCGUGAAAUUAUUACCAAGGUUGUUCUUGGGGAUGGAAAAAUAAUAAAUGUAUGUAUUCUCAAUUCCACUUCAAUUUGAUCUCUUAACCAUUAAUAUAUAUAUAUAUAUAAGGGUAGAUAUUCUUGAUGCAUCUUACAUAAUCUUAAUUAAGCUUCUUACUAUUCGAAUUCUAUAAUAUUUUCUGUAUGUAUACAGGGUCAUUCAAUCAAUUCUUUUGUGUUGAAUGGAACCAAGUUUCCCCUUGUAGAUGGGAAAAAGGCUGGUUUAACUAAUAAUAGUGAUUGUGUUACUUAUCCUACUCUGUAAGUUCUGCUCUCCAAGUCAUAUGAAUCUUGAACUUGCUUCAAAAAGAAAGUAUUUAAGAUUGAUGAAAUUAUUGUGAUAGUUGAGGGAUUUGAAGAAAAUGUAUGAAACUGAUGGAAUCAUUGUCGCGUUUCAGGGAUUGUGAAAUAGACUGUCUAGUGGAAAGCAAAACAACCGGAAAUAUUUUACUGUGUAGAGGCCCUGGGCUAGAUGUGCCUCUAAAGUUUGGGGCCGUUGGCAUAAUCAGACCAGAUUUAGGUCGUUCUAUAUACCCGUUGCCAGCAUCAGAUUUAGAGGAACAAGAAUUUGCAAUGGUCGAGGCCUACAUCAACUCCACCAAGUGAGGAUAUUAACAUUGAAAAACCUAUUUUAAUUGUUCCUGUGAAGUACCAGUUUGUCCCUUAAUUUAUGAUUAUUCCAUCAUCUUUCAUCAAAAAAGAAAUACAAUCCUAAGAUUCAGAGUAAUCUACAGAAAACCAGAAGCGGAUAUAUUGAGAAGUGAUUCCAUCAAAAAUGUUUCUGCUCCUAUGCUAGCUUCAUUUUCAGGACGAGGGCCAAGCAGUCUCCUAGCUGAGAUUAUAAAGGUACACCCAAAUUCACAUCUAGAGCUUGUCACAGUUUUUGUUUCAUUUCAUGUUUUUAUUUACUGAAUUCUCUUAAAUAUUGUUGCAGCCAGAUAUAAGUGCUCCCGGAGUAGAUAUCUUGGCGGCAUUUUCCCCAGUUGCUCCAAUUACAGAGUCCCUGGAUGACAAAAGGAGAGCUAAGUACAGUAUAAUAUCGGGAACAUCCAUGUCUUGCCCCCAUGCUGCUGGAGCUGCUGCUUAUGUUAAGACUUUCCACCCAGACUGGUCUCCUUCCGCCAUCCGAUCUGCCCUUAUGACUACUGGUAAAUGGGGUCCCAGCUAGCUUUGUUGAGAUUGUUCAAAAAAUAAAAAAUAAAUCUUAAAUAUACUCUAAGCUUACGAAUUUCUUAUUUAUAGCCUGGCCCAUGAAUGCUACUGCAAAUCCAGCUGCUGAAUUUGGUUACGGAUCUGGGCAUAUUAAUCCAGUGAAAGCCAUAAAUCCUGGUCUGGUUUAUGAAGCCUUUAAAGAUGACUACAUAAAGAUGAUGUGCGGACUAGGCUUUGACGCAGAGAAGGUAAGGCUCAUAUCAGGAGACAACACUACCACUUGUACUACAGGUGUUACCCAAGGCGCUGUAAGGGAUCUCAACUAUCCUUCCAUGGCAUCUACAGCCGACCAACACAAGCCUUUUAACAUUAGAUUUCCAAGAACAGUUACCAAUGUUGGCCAGGCAAAUUCCACUUACCAAGCAAAGAUCACUGCAGAUCCUCUCAUGAAAGUCCAAGUAAAUCCUAACGUUCUCUCCUUCACAUCAUUAAAUGAGAAAAAAACUUUUGUGGUAACAGUUUCAGGAGAAGCAUUGGAUAAACAACCCAACGUAUCUGCAUCGCUGGUGUGGACCGAUGGCACUCAUAGUGUGAGGAGUCCCAUUUUUAUCUAUCAACUUCCCUCAACCUGAGGAGUCCCAUUAGUUGUUGUGUAACAUUUAUGGUUGAAUUAAAUUCCCUGAGCUUCACAGCUUUACUCUAAAAAAUUAAGGUCAUUUAACUAUUUGGCCGUUCAGGGAUAUUGCAUGUUUUCCUUGUAUUUUUGUUUAAACAGAUGAUUAAUCUAUUCGUGGGUGAAGUCAUUUUAUAUUUUCUGUCUAUCUAAUUUUUAUAAUUAAUGCAACUAAUUUUGUGCCACACUACAAGAGAAAAGGGAUAUGUUCAAUUAGUUUUGGUAAGGAUUAGAAAAAUAGGCAACUAAAAUAUGAUAUAUGGCUACGCACAUGCUCCAUUCAUGUCUAAGGGUAUUGGCAGAUGGUUGGAAAUUUCCCCAGAAAACCCUGCGGUUGCUCAAGAGAUGCUACCAUAGAAGGUCCUAUAGAGGUCGCCUUCUUUGGGUCGCUCCCACAGAAGGUCCUAUAGAAGCACAAAACAUGAUCUUCACCUUCAAUAGAAUUUGCCCUAAUCCGCUCUUCAAAACCCUAACUUUCAUUUGCUUCAGUUCGAUCUUAUAGUCUUUGUAUGGAACCCUAACUUUCAUGUUUUCGUUUCUGGAGAUUUCUUUUCCACAUUGCAAAGAAAAUAGAUUUCUACAUUUCAUUAAGAUCCAUGGCCUCGGCAACGACUUCAGCAUCGUACUCUGUAAUUUUCUCUACAUUUCAAUAACUUUCCUAUUUUAAUAUUGUUUGGCCGAAGAAAAUUGUGAAUUAGUCAAAAGUAAGGAAUGAUUGUAUGAUACCUUUAAAAUCAUGAAAACUUGAUUCCUUUGAUUUUCCAUAAUUUUCUAUGCAAUUAAAUAAAGCCUUCCAAUUUUUCAUUCUUGGUUUCUUCAUUUGAAUUUUUUUUCUUAUUUCUAUUUUUUGAGGCAAUUUUCAGGUUUUCAUGGCUUGAAUCAAUCUAGAAGAACUUGAAUGUUUUUUUUUUUUUUUUUUUCCUUUUUGGAAAUCAGUUGAGAGUAUUUUGGAUCUUUCUUUAGUUACUUUGGGUUCAAUCUCUGAUCUGGUUGUAAAAGUGGAAGAAAUAAAGAGAAUAAGUGCUUUUUAUUUUCUUUUUUAUCGUGGAAAUUGUGGAGCCACUAUAAGAAAAAUGAGAAAUAAUGACGUUUUUUACGUGUCAAGAAAGGCAAAAGAUGACGCUUCUCAAAAGCGUCCUCUUCGGCUUUGUCAUUAUAUGUGUUAGCCAACAAUGACGCUUCUAGAAAGCGCCAUCUUUGAUAAAUGCUUUUAAUGACGCUUAAAGAAGCAUCAUUUUUUAAUAAUGUUAAUAACGACACUCGUAAAAAGUGUCAUCUUUAAACAUAUUCUAGUGAAAUAAUUUUUACAAAAUUCGUAAUCUUGAUACUUAUUAGAGUGUCAUCUUUAAUAAAAUUGAUCAAUGACACGUUCAAAAGUGGCAUCUUUGAUUUAUGUUAAUAAUGACACUUAUAGAAGCAUCAUCUUUGAUCAUUUCAUAUCAAAAAUGAUAUUUAUAUUCUAUUGUAAAAAUAAUGAUUUCAUAUAUAAUUAAAUAAAAAGAAAGAAAAAAACUCAAAAUCAAAUUGAAUAUUACUAAUAAAGAUAUCUUCAAAUAUUGAUAUAUAAUAACUUAGUUCAAACCAUUAAUGUAACUACUUAUAUAUAAUAAUUGCAUACAAGUUUGUAAAUUACAUCAAAAUAUUUCGAACAACAAUUUCUAAUUCUUUCAACAAGAGUACAAAUAUUACUGCAACAACUAUUAAGAUUUAUAUUCUACAAAAAAAAUAUUGUUCAACCUUCAAAUGACUAAUGAUGCAAUCUUCAUGGUGGUUUUUGAUCGACAUCACCUCGUUUAACAAAUUGGGUUCUUUUCUUUUGGUAAACGAGUUUCCUUUGCAUCCUAUAAAAAAAUAUAGGAAGAAUUAAAAACUCAUAAAUUAUACAUGCAACAACGAAUAAAUACAAUUGAAACAAUAACUUUCAUAAAAAUUUGAAAGAAAAAAAAAAAAAAAAACUAGAACUAAUAUAAAAUGAAAUGAGAAAAUUUUUAGAAAAAUAAAUGAGUUAGAGUCUAUCACUUGAGGAUAAAAUGUUGUCCACUAAUUAAGUAGAAAAACUUUAUAAUAAAAUAGUGAUUCCUUAGUAAAUAAAAUAAAGUAAAAUCUUCAAGAGUAACGUAGUUCCAAAUAUGAUAUAACAUCAAAAAGUUAAAAAUAACGAAUCAUGGUACACCAAAACAACAAAAGGAUAAAUGAAACAUAAUAUAAAUAACUAACCAAAAUAAAUGUUCUACAAGCAAAGUUGUGAACAUAAAAAAUUCAAACAUACAAAGGAAAUACCAAAGAAAUAAACACACAGAAAAUACCAAAGGAAUACAAGACUAGGUGGAUGGCUUAUCUAGAGAUUCAAAAACUAUAAAUAAGGAGGGGGGAAGAUGUAAAAAGAAAUUUCCCUUAUCAUUAAUUUUCAUGUUAUAUUUUCUUAAAAAUUUUCAAAUCCUGAAAUCAUGAUAGGUUAGGCUCUAGACAUGACAUUUUUUUCAUUAACUUUUUUAUAGGUUGCUUUCUAAUAGAAGUAAAUUAAUUUUUUCAUUCAAUCAUCACUCAUCCUUUUUUAUUGGUCAAAUGGAAAAAAGAAAAAUAGAUAUACAUAUAUUUAAAAGCAAAUUAUUGAUUUUGAAAAAUGUUUCAGGGCAUUUUCAAGGUUGAUAAAAGGAUAACAAUUGAACAAAAUUUUCAUUCAUUCACCACAAAAAAAGAAAAUGUUGUUCAACUCCUUCCAUCUAUAAAGUGAACUAGUUAGUACAAAAUAGAAAAUCAAUUUUAUUAAAAGGAAAAGGUAAAGUUCAAUUUUCAUUCAUGUCAUCACAAAAAUUAAAUGGUUGCUCAACUCCUUCCAUCUAAACUAACUAGUUAGUACAAAAUAGAAAAUCAAUAUUACUAAAAAGAAAAGGUAAAUAAUAAAGAAAAAUUUUUAUUCGAAAAUACAAAAGAUUCACGCAAUUAUACCUUUUUCUUCUUCUCCCUUUUUCUCAUUUUGCCUCAUGAAAUGGAUCUAAGCAAGAGAAAACAAGAAAGCACCCACAUUAAGAUAUUGCAUGUAUUAUGGUAAAAAGUUAACAAGAGAAACUUGAAAGUAUAAACUAGAAGACUUAAACAAAUUUAAACAAAAGAAAAAAAGAAACAAGAAAAGAAAAGAAUAGAAAAUGAUUAAUACAAAGAUUGGACUUUUUUUUUUUAUAAUAUAAAAACCUAAAAAAUUAUAAAACCAACAAAAGUAAAGAAUAAAAAUGAAUGAGAUAGUAAUGAAUAACAUAUUGUCUCUUUUGAAUGAAUAACAUUGAUAAUAAAUUGAAAUGUUAAUGAGACAACAACCUUACUUGACAUGCCCGGAAGAACAUUAUUUCUAUGGAUCAAGUAGGUUACUUAAUCUACAAUAUCCUUCAUCUGAGAUAGAAUUCAUCAAUGGAAAUAUUAAGUAUUGACGAUAUUAUAUCUUAGAAAUCAAAUUGUGAUACUUCUAAGAUAACUUUUUCCCCUUAAUUUAACAACACAAUCAUCGCAUAUUCCAUCUUUAGUAACUUCAAGUACAUAUCCAAUGCAACAAGAAGGAGAACAACCCAAUAAAAGAAAAAAGAAAAUUGGGAGAAAAGGGAAAAUAAAAUAAAAUCUUGAAUCCUUUGUUAUUACGAGUUUUAAGCUUCCCAAAGUGAAAAUCUUACCUUUGUAAGCUUGACAGUUUCAUGUUACCUCCUGUCAAGUAGAUUUUGGUUUUUCUGUCCAAAAAUCAUAAAAGAAUUCAAGGUUCAAAACUUUGAUUUCUUUUCCUUUCUAACCCAUUUCUCAAUAACCAAAUAGAUCAUAAUUUAAAAAAUCCGUAACAAAAAUAUUAAUAAAUGGUAUGAGAAUGAAAAACAUCAUAGUUGAACAAUCUAAGUAAAGAUGAAAAUUGUCCAUGGUUUUUUAUGAAGAGAUACCAUAGAUCUAACAUACUAUGGCACCAUAAAACGUCACUAAAACACCAACUCUCCUUUCAAUUGCUAAGAAAAUGUAAGAAAAUUAACAAACACAAAAGAACCAAAACAGACUCAAAUACUAAACUUUAUAUGUUUAAUACCUUUCUAAAUGCCUUCUCAAAUGCUGCAACCAUCUCCAAAAUCGAAGUUCCUUUCCCAGUUCUCAAGUUGUACACUUCACAACUUGUUGUAGGAUAUCUCAUGAAAAUCAAUAUUGACAAGGUUUACUUCCCAUUUACUCAAGUGAUUUAUGACAAUGUCUAGUUCUAACCUCUCCUCAAAAAUUCAAUAUGCAAGUGCCUGCAGAGCUUGAAUUUUUUUAAUACAAGAAACAUUUUCUUUUCUAGGUGGUAGGUUAGGGAAGUAACAAAUACCAACACUUACUCAAGGAAGGGUUGGAGAGUGGGACCUACUAAAGAAACUUUUUUCUGACUAUUUUCAUUGCCCUAAGAAAAAUAUAGAAUCAACAACAUCCAUUGAAAUUAAUGACAUAAAAAAACUGCUAAAUUUCCUAGAAUAUUUCAGAAAUAGUGAUAUUCAACCUUGUAAACCCGAAAAUAAUCAGCAAUGGCAACCCUCUAUUCAUUGGUCAACUUGAAGAUGAUUGAAGUAUGAUCCAAAUCUUUAGAUGUUGUACAUAUAAGAAACCAGAGAAAAAAGAAAUUAUGAAAUGUUUAAGACAAGACCGAACACAUUAUACUCGGUUGAAUGUAUAAACAUAUAUGCCUUACCUCUAAGGGUAGUAUCAAUCACUUUAAUAGCUACUGCCAUUUGUGGCUAGCAAUCCAAGCAAACAUCAACACCCAAGCAGCAGAAGGGCAAGGAACAACUCUAAAGACACUUGAAAGAAGGGAGUAGCCAACACAAAUUCCAUUAGCAUGCACAAGAUACUUGCAUGACACCAACCAUCAUCAUCUUGAGAAAGCAAAAGAGAAGGAAAAAGGAAAAAUCUCCAUAAUCUGAUUUGCAUGCACACCCCUAGCUAAUACUAGAGCUUUCAAGUGAACUAAUUGUAGUAGUUGGAUUUUGAUUAAGAAUGGGUUGGGGCUCCAAUAAUUAUGGGGUGGUUCUACUUAAAUAGAAAUGGAUAUGAGGUGGAUACUUAUGUUAGGUGUCCCCGACUAAGAUCCUUUAAACCACCCUUCUAUUUAUACUUAAGAAAUAAAUUGAAUACUUUAAUUCACUCCUGACCAAAAAAAUGCAAACUCGGAAACGUAAACCCUUAUGAAACCUCAAAAGAAGUGAUCUAAAUGAAAUGAAUAAAAGUAUAUCAAAGUAAACCCUCUUAGGACUAGUCAUGUAAGUAUCCAAAAAAAUCUCCACACUGAGUAAUUAAACAAAUAGAACGAGUAAUAGGAAUCAAAGUGCAUGAUUUUCUAUACGAGAAACUUUAAGAUGAGACCCCUUCAUAACUUUUCAAGUCAUGAAAAUUAACAAAAAAUCAAACAGCAAAAGAAAACUAAAUGUUAUUUCUUGUAAAUGAAUGAAGUCCAAAGUGGUUAAUUAUUAUGUUUCUACAGUCUGAAGAAGUAAUCUCUAAAACCCAUUCAUGAUGAAUAACACUACACACAACAAGGAAAUGAUAUGGGAAUGGAAAAAUAGUACCUGAAGGCUCCAAGGUUAGAGUAAGAGAGGUUGUCAAAGUCAUUGGUCUGAGAGUUUCUGAGUAGAGAGCCACAGUUGAAAAAAAAAAUUAUUAAUUAAAUACUCAAUAUAUCAUGUGGUGAAUUUAUUUUCAGUUUGAUUUUUUUUUUAAAUUGAAAUUUCUUUUAAUACUUGAAAAAGAUGAUAAAAGCAUAUAAAAAAAACAUAGCAAUAGCUAGAUUUAAAUUGUUUAGAUAUGAUUUUAUAGGUUAAAGAACUGUAAUAAUCCAUUGAAAAAAAUAGUUAAGAGAUAAUUGAUGUAAUUUUUAACAAAAAAUUAUAGGGGCUUGUACUAUAUUUUUUAACAAAUACCAAUUUUUAUUGCUUUUGGUAUAAUGUGUACAAAUUUAAUUAUAAUUUAUAAAGUAACCUUUGUGCAAAUUUAUAAAUUCAUAAUAGCAUUAUGUCCAACAUCUUUUAGCCACAAUUUGUACUCUCAACUUCUAAGUUGAUGCCCAUAUUUUGUCACUUCAUAAUAAUGUCUCCAUGAGCAAAGAUUAUGCACAUUUUAAUCAUUGGAACUCUCCAUCUAUUAAUCUUUUUUUUUUUUUUUGGGUUACAAAAUGGAGAAAAGAUAUGUGAAUUUCAUUUUGCUUUUGGGCACCCAGUGGCUGAAGGUUCAAGGCGCCUGUUAUCUUCGUACCAUAAUUCUAGUAAAUACUGAAAUGGAAAUCUUUGGUUUAUGCAUAGACUCAAUAAUUAAAAAUAAGAUAAAAAUAAAUUCAACAAAAAUCAACCUUAUGAUGACCAAAAGGAUAAAAACUCUCCACUUCUCCACAUCAACCAACGUCUUUGCCACAGGCAAGGCUCAUGGUGAUGGACCAACAAAAAUAAGCUUGAAACAAAAUGAUACUCUUACCCAUGGGGACAAUGUCCAUGCUAAUAAACUCAUUUUUUUUAAAGACUACACUAGGGAAAUCCAAGUCAUGAAGAACAGAAUCUCAAACUUGCCAUUCAAAAAUCUCCAAACACAGGUUCAAAUUGUUGUGUCAAUCUCGCUGACUUUGAAUUCAAACCCUAAAAGUAUUGUUCAAAACCACACAACACAUUAUAAAAUCAAUCCUAAAAUGAGAAAACUAGAUUUUAAAAUCCCAAACAUAUGAAUCUAAAAUAACAAAACCCAAACAUAAAAUCAAAACUAAAAUCAACCUCAAUAAAUUUCAGAAACGACAAAUUAAAAUAGUAAAGCACAAAAGGGGGAAAACACAUAUGAAACAAUCUUUAUACAAGCCCUAACCAUAGAUAAACCCAAAAAAAAAAAAAAAAUCAAAGCAGAGAGUUACCAUUGAGCAUCUCUGUUUCAAGCUUAGAAAAGGUUUAAUGCCAUUGAUAACUAGCUGGUUAAUAGUGGACUUCAAGCUUCUGUAUUUCGGCGUUAGUAGCUCUCAACGGCUAUGGUGAGAACAAAGAAAUGAGAGGCUUAGGGUUUGGGAUGUGAGGUUAUCGAUGAUGAUGAGGAUAAAGUUAUGGGCUCUUGGGAGGUUAGGGAAAUUGAAGAUGGCUGAGGGUAAAGGCUAGGGUUUUUGAGAUAGUUAAUAGCUUUUUAGGGUGUGAGUGUCCAUAGAUAAAAGAUAAAUGAGGGUAUGAGAAUUCAUAGAUCUUUAGGUGAUAUGUCGGGUGUGAGAAUGAAAUUUUAGAGGGAAUUGUGUGUUUGGCAAAAAUUUCACAUAUGUAUAUAUAAUGUUUUAGAACAUGGUGCUUUAAAAAUGCGACAAGGAAAAAAUUAUUUAUUGACGCUUAAAUAAAGUGCCAAGGUCUCCAACAAUUCUGUAAUCAAUGGCGUUUUUAAAAUGUGCCAUUGAAUAGGAGUGUCAUUGCUUCUCCAUAAAGCAUCAUUGUUAAUCAAGCCUUUAUAAAACGCCAAGAUAUGUUGCCACUUAGGUUAAAUAUUGACGCUUUUAAAAAACGUCAAGGAAAAAAACGUCAUUAUUCAUAUUUUUUUGUAGUAGUGAGUGGUUCUCUAAUUUUCUCAUCCACUGACAUCCUUCAUGUGUAAAAGAGAGCCUCCAAUACAUUGUAUUGUCAUUUGUGUUUGGGCUACUCACAUUGAGAUAAGGUCCAUGAACUUAUGGCAUUAUCAAUGCUUCCACAAUUUUCCUAGAAAAUUUUCUCCAAAUAGUUUUAUGUGAAAAUUUCACCCUGAAACUCUGAUGCCAUGCUAAGUAAGAUGUGUAUUUGCUCAUAUAUAUUUUCUUUUAUGCAUUCACUAGACUUUAUGGAAAAUGUGUUCAGUGGAUAAAAAAAUGCCUAGAACCACUAGCUCAAUUAAAAUAAGAAGGAAAUUGUGAAACUUUGGUUAUCAAUUUUUUUUUCCUUUAGUUGUUUUAGAGCUUUUGAUUGAUAUGAUAACUUGCAUUUUAAGUGACUUUAGAUAAUGGAAGAUGAAAUUUGAUAAUCAAGUUAGAUUUUUCAAAGUGAACAUCAACUAUUUGAUAAAAGCAUGUUAUGGAACUAGGUGAUCCUUGUUAUUUAAGAAACUUUAAAUGUUGAAAUUUAAAUUCUUAAUUUUAUUAUUAUAUAUGAUGCUAGAAUUGAUAUUGUCAUUCUUUGAAUAUUAGGAAGAUUGGUUUAUGUUUUGGUUAGGGGAGUUCUAUUUAAUCAUAAAUCUAAAGAUCAAUAAUUGUGGUUUUGAUAAUUCUUCAUUUUCAUUGAGUUUUGAAUUUUUCUGUCCAAGCUGCACACUGGUCUUCUACUUAGAUUAAUCAAAUUCCAUUUUUGUAAGAUUGUUAAAUAUCCAUGUAUUAUGUAGUAUUAUACAUGAAGGAAACAAAAUCUCUAUAGGUUCUUUGUGAAAAUACUUUGUGAUGUAUAUACUAUUUAUAAGGAUUUAUCAUAUAUAAAUAGAAAACCUAACCACACCCCCUCCCUCCCCUCCAUUUAAAAUAAGUAUGGUAGGUGAAUUAACUUUCUUCUUAGGAUUAUAGAUUAGACAACUAAAAAUGGAAUCUUACUUUCGCAAUCAAAAUAUGGUAGGGAGUUUGUUAAGAAAUUUGAUCUAAAAUCCACCAAACACUUAGGACACUUAUAAGCACUACCACUAAGCUUAGCAAAGAUGCAUCUAGAAAAAAUGUUGAGUAAAAACUCUAUAGAAGUAUGAUAGGUAGCUUAUUAUAGCUCACAACAAGUCGUCUUGACAUAUCUUUUAGUAUUAGAGCUUGUGCUAGGUACCAAGCAAACCCCAAAGAGUCACACUUAACUUCUAUUAAAAGAAGUAUAUAUUAUAUAAAUGAGACUCUUUACUAUAGUUUGUGGUAUCCCUAUGAUUCUUCUCUUGUGAUUGUUAGGUAUUUCAAUGUUGACUGGGCUGGAAAUGUUGAAUAAAAAAAAAAAAACACAACUAGUGCUUAGUAUUUUAUUGGUGAUUGUCUUUUGGCUUAGUUUACUAAGAAACAAAAUUCUAUAUCUUUAUCUGUUACCAAAGCCGAAUAUAUUGUUGCUGGAAGUUGUUGUACACAACUCUUGUGGAUCAAGCAAAUACUAAAAGAUUAUGGAAUUAAGCAAGGGACCAUGAACAUACACUAUGACAACUCUAAUGCUAUAAAUAUCUCAAAGAAUCUUGUUCUUCAUUCCUAUAAUAAACACAGUACAAUUCGACAUUGUUUUAUUAAGGAUUUUGUUAAAGAAAAGGUUGUCUAUCGAGAGUUUGUUCCCACUGAACAUCACUUGGUAAAUAUUCUUACUAGACGCUUGGAUUCUCGUCUAUUUGAGUUCCUUAGGAAGUCCUUAGGCUUGUGCCUAAUCGAUUGAACAUCAAAACUUAGGUCUAAAAGGUUUUCAAGUUUAAUUAUUUAUUUUCUAUUUGUUUCCUUUGACCUUCUUUUAAGUUUACUUUGUGAAUAUGAGAAAUAUACUAUGUCUACAAGACUUGAUGUGGAUUGAUUCAUAGAUAUUUGUUAAUCACCAUUGAUGUAUGUGGACCCGCAUUUCACUCGAUGCGUUCCCACUUAUGGCUAACUCGCUUUUAAUUUAUUUGGUGAAAAUAUGAUUUUCAGAAAAGAAUUAGAGUCGCCACUUAUUUUUGUUUUAUUUUUAAGGGAAAACAAAAUAAGAAAGAAAACCCUAAGUGUGACUCCUUAUUUGGAAAAGACAGUCUGUGGAAAACCAAAGUCGAGUCCGGGAGUUGAGUUACUUAUUGGGAAGGCACGAUAAAAAAGCCAUAGCACCCCAAGUCCCUAAAAACGAGUCUCUACUAAAUAAAGCAACUAAUAAGGAAAACAAUGGAGACCAAAAUGAUCAUAGAUCAAAAGCAAGUCAUGAUAGGGAAUAAAUAAACAAAGUGAGAGUGAGAGCAUACCAUGGCAAUAGGUAAAUAAAGCGCUAUCGUGAAACAAAGUUAGUGUAUAAUGAUAAGUGUAAAAUGGCUCACACAAAACCAAUCAAAAUAGAACAAUAUCAACCAUACAAUUCACUUGAAUUAUUUUCGCAAGAAAUGUUAUGAAUAUUGGGCUCCCACCAAAGCCUAACUUAUUUUGCAUGAAUUCUAUUAUUUUGGAAUCAUGAAAAUUGCCUUCGCGCUUAUUAAAAAUAAAAAAAAAUAAAAAAUUGUGAAAGUGUUUACUUGAAAGGAAAUGUAGCAAGUUUAUAAAAAUUAUUUGAAAAUGAAAAUUUUGAAAUUUGGAAUUUUGGAGAAUUAUUUGAAAAUAGAAUUUCUUAAGAAUUAAAUUUGGAAAUUGUUUGAAAAUAGAUAAUAAAAAUUAAAUUUGGGAAUUGGAAUUUUGGAGAAUUAUCUGAGAAUGGAAUUUCUUAAGAAUUAAAUUUGAAAAUUGCUUGAAAAUGGAGAAUAAAAAUUAAAUUUGGAAUUUUGGAAAAUGGUUUAAAGAUUAAAGUUUUGCAAACUAGAUUUAAAAUUAAAAUUUGAAGAAUUAUUUCAAAAAUGGAUGCUUUGAAAAUUAAAUUUGAGAAUUGGGAUUGUAGAAAAUUAUUUGAAAAUGGAAAUUUGAGAAUUAUUUGAGAAUGGAAUUUCUUAAAAAUUAAAUUUGGAAAUUGUUUGGAAAUGGAGGAUAAAAAUUAAAUUUGGGAAUUGGAAUUUUGGAGAAUUAUCUAAGAAUGAAAUUUCUUAAAAAUUAAAUUUUAAAAUUGCUUGAAAAUGGAGAAUAAAAAUUAAAUUUGGAAAUUGGAAUUUUGAAAAAUGGUUUAAAGAUGAAAGUUUUGUAAACUAUAUUUAAAAUUAAAUUUUGAAUAAUUAUUUCGAAAAUGGAUUCUUUGAAAAUUAAAUUUGAGAAUUUGAAUUUUUAAAAAAUAUUUGAAAAUGAAAAUUGAGAAUGGAAUUUUUAAAAAUUAAAUUUGGAAAUUGGAAUUUUUUGGAAAAUUAUUGGAAAAUGGUAUUUUAAAUUAAAUUUGGAAUUUUGGAAAAUUAUUUGAAAAUUGAAAUCUUGAAAAUUAGAUUUAAAAAAAUGGAAUUUUAAAGAGUUAUUUGAGAAUGGAGAAAUAAAAUAAAAAAUAAAAAAAAGUAAAAAAAUUAAAUUAUUAAAAGAAGAAAAAUUAAGAGGAUGACAUGUGGCUACUGUGUGGUGCGUUGGAGAGUGGCCAGAUUGCCACCAUCGACGAGGUUCACAUCGUUAAAAAUCCUAUUCCGAACCUAGGGUGGUCGAAGGUGUGUUGCCCAUGUUGUUGCAAAAAAAAGAGCCACUACAGCCUCCGGUGGGGCAACAGCCCUGGCCGUGGGCGUUGAGCAACAAUGACAGCCCCAGAUGCGGCUGAACCAAGCUGCUAGGAUGUGGAGGUAAAGAGGUUUGAAUCAAAAUGGCUAAAUGGGUUUCUCAUGGGUGAGCUUGAUAGAGAAAAAGUUGUCUAUGCGGCAAAUGGAGGAGAUUGUUGGUUUAGCAAGCUCAUCAGGAAGCUUCUCCAGAGAGUCAUGCCAUAAGUGAAGGAGGGCCUGAAUGUAUUGUUUUUUAUGGGUCACAACCUUUUCAAGCUGUGAAUGCCAUCCUUGAAUCUCAUUCCAAAACUGGAUGGUGCGUUCACGGUGAUGCUUGCUCAUAUACUUGGGAACCUGGGAAAUGUCAAUAAAUUUGAGGUUUGUAACCAUCUUUAGCUGGCUAUUGUGCUGCAUGUACAUGCCAUUCCACAUUUUUGUCAUCAACUGCUUUCAUUUUCUCCAAUGAUUCAGUACAGGCACUGCGUUUUUUUUUUCUUUCAAUAAUGUAUUUUGGGUUGCAGCUCACUGCUCUUUCUUUGUGUCAAAAGUGAGGCUUCGAGUGACAAGCUUAGACCAAGGGUGCAUGCUAGAUGCAUAGACACAAACUAGUACCAAGAACAGAGAAAGAAAUAGCCUAAAAUAGAGCAUGCCCAAAGCAACAAGCAAUUCAUUAAAUAAGGCCUCAUUUCAUGCUAAAAUCAAUGAGCCUAAAGCGGAGAAGGAGCUAGAAUAAAUCUUGAACAAAAAAAUUGGAUAUAAUUUCCAAGCAUUGAGCAUCAAAUGUAAGUCCAAAUUCAAAUUCAUCAUCAAAUUUAAAUCGAAAGAAAUAGGAGAACAAAACAGUGUGAAGUUUGCAAUCAAUCCAAGAUCAGUAAGACAACAUAUAAUCUCUUGUAAUCACACCCAAACAACAGAUAAUACUCAGAGAAUUGGCUAAAUAUGAGAGUAAAGUAGUGUUAAAAAAAAAUGAAAGACAUAGAGAUUACAGAAAACUCACCCGGAGAGCCUCCUCCCAAUCCGUGUUAUCUUAGUUUCAAGUGAGUUGUGUCUCCUUCCAAAAACCAGCAAAAAAUCAUCAGUUUCCCUCUCCUAUGUUUUUUUCUCAAUCCCUUGCUUGGUUUUCCUUAUUUUUUAGUUCCAUUCCAAACCAGUUUUCUACAACUCCUUCCUUUCUGAAUGUCUUUCCCUAGUCUCUCUCUCAUUCACUUUCUCUCUCUCUCUCUCUCUCUCUCUCUCUCUCCCUCUCCCCCCCAAUGUUUUUCUCUCAAUUUCUCUCUUGCUAAAAACCUUCCCUCUGUUUAUCUCUCAAUUUCUCUCUUACUAAAAACCUUCCCUCUCUUUCUCUUUAAACGUCUCAUUCCUCUUAUAUCUUUCAUGUCUUUCUCUACUCCAUUCCAAAAAAAACUUAUCAAUCUCCUCUCGUAAUCUGUCAACAUUUCAUUCCCGAUGACCUCUCUCCACCUCCCUACCAAACUCUUUAAUUUUCCAAAAAUCUAACCUCAAUCUUCUUCCCCCAUGAUCUCUUUUUAUUUUCCCACCAAAAAUUCAUUUUUUUUUAAAAAAAAUUACCUAAAUAAACGAGUAAAUAAAAUAAAAAUUAAUAAAAAGCUAUUUUGGAAAUAAAAAUGAAAAUAAAAAAUAAAAAAUAUAAUAUAAUAUAAUAGUAAGAAUAAUAUUAAUAAUAUCAAUAAAAUAAUAAUAAUCUUAAUAAUAAUAAUGAUAAUAGAAACAAUGGUAAGAAAAACUAUUCUAAUAAUGGUAAUUUAAAAAAUUAAAUGACAAUAAUAAUAAUAAUAAAAUAUACAAUGACUAUAUAUAUAUAUAUAUAUGUGUGUGUGUGUGUGUGUGUGUGUGUGUGAGUAGAUAUGAAAAUGAACAAAUAAAUAAAUGAAUAACUAGAUAUAAGUACGCAACACGUAUUUAUAAAGAAAACAUGCAAGCUACGUAAGCCAUGUAGGCCAUGUAAGCCAUGCAAGCCACUAAGCCAAACGAAUGACUUAGGAGUGUUGGAGCAAGCCCUAAAGGACUAGACAUACCUAAAUGGGCCAAGUGUGCCUAAAUGGGCCAAGUGUACCUAAUGGGCCUAAAUAAGUCUAAACAAAUUGUCAUAAAUGUGUAUCUAGUAUCCAAUAACAAUAGGCCUCCAAGAACUGCUAUAAAGUAUUGAAAGAGUACUUAAUCAAGGUAUGCACUAAGGGGACAAAAUGAAGGGUCUACAAUGUACUUGAUUCCUGAUAAUUAAAUGUUUUUGUAUAGUGGAAUUCCAACCUUAGUUACAUCUUGUGCUUGAUCAAGAGGAAGACUUCUUAAGUUUAGCUCAUAAAGUAGACUUUGUUCACUUUGGAAGGAUCCUUUGUCAUGCUCAAAUCUUAUUAUCCACAUGUCUUAUUUGACUAAGAUCAUUAUAAUUGUUUAUCGAAGUGAGUUAGUGAAAUUUCUUGAAUCAUUGGUUAACCAUAACUCUCAUAUAAUUUCCAAGAUUUAUGCUCUCAAAUGUAAGCUGCUCACUUACAACAUUUGGAAACAUCCCCAAAGUAAUACAAAUGCAACCAUGAAUGAAAAUAAAGUGAAAAAUCGAUAGAGAUCAUGGUGUACAAUGCCGCUACUUUCAAAAGAAAAAGAAAAAAAAAAUGAUAUCAAGUUAAGGAGGACUCAAGUUGUGCCAGAUGUAGAUCAACGAGGUCAUGUUAGACCAAAAUCCGAUUAUCUUAGUUGAAAUUGACUGGAUGUGUAAUUUAAUUUGACUAAAGGCAUAACUAGAUAUCUUCUAAGUAAUCAAAUUUCAAAAUAUAAAACUAGACAGUAAGUUGUAUUUCCUUGAACAUCAAUACUUAUUUUUCUAUGUUGGCCCUCUUAUACAUUGAUGGUUAUGCAUUGGGUUUCAAAACUAAGAUUAUGAUUGACCUUGAUGCUUGAACAUGAAACCUCACUCUUAAUGGAUUGAUUUAUAAUACUUAGAAAAUUCACAUGACUAAUUUAUUAUUGAUUAAAAUUAUCUUAAGAAUCCUUGAACGUGAUGAUUUACCUAAGUUGAUUGGUUUUAUGUAUCUUGUCUCGGCUUCAUGGCAUCAUUUAAUCUCUAGUUAAGCUAGUUGAGUUUUCCAAUUCCUUUGGUAAAUUUUUGUUCUUUUCUUUGUGCUAAUUUGAGGCUUCAAACGCUUGAGCGUUCUUACUAGUGCUCAAGCACUCCAUCCAACACUACUAGUGCUCAAGCGUUACAAGUUAUAUCCAGAGUCGCUUUGAGUGGUUAGACCGCUCAAGCACUCUAAGUCAUAUUUAACAUUGUUUCCAACAUUCGCGACACUUAAGCGUUAGCGCUAAUCUACAUCGAGCACUCCUACAUGCUAUUUAAAGUCAUCUCGCAUGCCAUUUGCUAUUUUUUACCUUUCCAAGUUGUUUCGAGCACUCUGGGUUUCCGCUUCUUUGUCAUUUAAGGUCAGUUCGCUUCAUAUUUCCCAUUUUGUUUGCAUAGUAUUAUUCUUCGCUUUGUUUUUAGCAUUCUUAGUGGUUUAGUUUGUCUUUGUAAUUUUUCUUGUUUUUCAUGUCCUUUCAUAUUCCAUUAUUGUAGUAUGGCGAUUCGUCGUCACCAGCUCGAGGUAACCCCUCCUAUGUAACCUUUCAACCUAGUAGCACUUCUAAUGGAGUGUUUCCACUAUCAAGAGGCACAAAAUCGCUUUUAUGCCUCUUCCAUGAUAAAUGUGUUGGGAUUGAGCAUUUGGUCAAUCUUCGAGCUUUUUAAAACACUCUUCUCCCUACUAUCAUUAGAGAGUGAGGGUGAGAGAUGUUCUCUCUUCAAAGGACUUACUACCCCCAUCUUAUUGCAUGUUUUAUGUGAACAUGCAUUAUGUUUUCAUUUGAGUCAUUGUUCGAGUGGCUAUAUACGACCAGUCCUUCCUCGUCUCUUCUCGUUCCAUCUAAUGUGUCCUGAGCAUGCCAUGACUUAAGUCUCACCUUUAGUCUUUCUUUUCAAAGGUUUAAGCUCUCAUUAAAGGGGAGCUUGAUGUCAUUCCCACCUCCCUGUAUGGCAUUCAUUGCCCUUUACCUUCAUAUAUUUUGAUUGUUGGCUUCUCUAAGCAAGUAUGGAUACUUUCUACCUUUUUCACUUACUCCUUUUACCCUUCUACUUAUCAUACUCAGAUUCAUCGAUCAUCUACUCGGUUUAUUCAUGUUAUACUCUCUAGCCAAGAAUUUGUUAAUGGCCAAGUGAUUUUAGACACGAUGACUCCUCUUCAUGAUCUAUUUUUUCGAGGAGGUAACCUUCCUUUUAACCUCCUCAUUUCUUAUAAUUGUCUUUGAGUUAGAUCUAGUUUUGGGAAUCCAUUCCUCCCAUGCCCUCUUGGAUGGGAGCUCUUAGGUUAAGCACUACAACCAUGUUUAUGGACUGAUGGAACCCCCAACUUUCCAUGACCCUCAAGAUAUGGCAUAGUAAGCAGCUUAGGAAGCAAUAGUAGAGGAGGAUGAACUCCAAGCUAUGGAGUCUGAUGCAGUUCCCAAGCUAGAUUUUCCUGAGCUUGCUCUAAGGAUGCACUCUAGUCGAGGUUGUGCUAGUUCUUCUUGAGCUACACAUAAGGCAUCUUCUUCAUCAAAUGAUGGACUCAUAGGACAUUCAACUCUGUGAGAUCCGGGGUCAUCUUGACUACAUCAUAUCUUAGAUCCACUCUCGAGGCGCCUCAAGCUUUACCCCUCCUUCACCUCCUCUAAAUGCUUAGAUUAGUUUUGUUUACGUAUUCUUGAUCUAGAUUUGUUCAUUUAUGACAUAUCUUAUGUAUCCAUAAUCAUUUUUGUUAUAUAUAUGUUGUUUCUUUAACUUUCUCUCUAAUUGUGUGCUUUCCAGUUUAGAUAUUUCACAUGCUUUGCAAUUUUUGUGACAAAAAAAGGGGAGAUCAUUGACCAUAUUUGACUCACUUAAAUAAGGGAAGCAUAAGAAUAAAUUGAUAAAAGAUAAUUAAGAAACUUCCUUGAUAGAAAAAGGGAAAUAUUAUUUAAGGGGAGUUAAUAUUAUUUUUGAAUUAUUUUAUUCAUUUAAUUCUUAAGGGAAAUUAAUUGAAAUAUUAGAGGAAAUUAAACUUGAGACACUAGAGGAAGCCAAAUCAACCUUUGGAAGCAUAACUUAAAAGUUUAAGAGAGAUACCUGACAUGGAUGUUUUGUGCAAGAUAUUUCUAUUUAAAUUAUCUAUCUCUUUAAAACUAUUAUGAGUCACAAAAGGUUGUUCUCAUAGUUUUCACUACAAUAUUCUGGUUGGAGACAAACCUCUAGACUUUAUAGUUGAGCUAUUGUGUCUUAUCAAGCUUUUAUCAAGUUUGGUUGAUAUGUGUGCAUCUAGAUUCCUCUCGAGCUUUGCUUUGUACCUUGGUGUCACUACAAGGAUUUGUUCCUCUUACAUGCAUCAAGCAAAAUCUUCAACUAUCUUGUUCUAUUACUUUGAUCAUAUCUUAUCCCACACAUUAUUUUACCUUUGGUAUAGUUUUUUGUAUGUGUGUAGGUUACAGGACUGGAAGAUUAGUACUACAAGUUUAUAGAAAAUAUUCCUGUAGACCCUCAAUUUUGUCCCUCGACACUGGCAUUUAUCCUUCUGGUGUCACAUCCACCCAUCAUUCGUAUAUGACACCACUAGGGCCCCUUUUGGGCUUAGUCGGUGUCCGAGCCUCGUGUGGGUUUGUGUGUGGUCCAUUGUGAUGCAUAUGUGGUUCAUUUAGGAGGGUCACCAUGGCCAUUUUCCUAGUCGUUCACAUCACGCUAUAGGAAGGAAGUGGGGUCAUCCCGAUGUUUUAGCUUAGUUGGGGUUUAUAGGGGCAUGUUGAGGUUCGGAGCACUCGGGCUUGUUUUGAUCGUAUCUCCCUUAUCCAAACUCGGAAUCAAGAACUGUUUCUUUUUAUGGAUUCCUUAUUCUUCCAGGAACAUUCUGUAAAAUUUUCAAAAUUUUUUGCAACCGGUCGGCUGGUUGGCAGCCGGUUCAGCCGGUUCAUUAGGUCAGCCGGUGUAGAACACUGAUUUUUGGUAAUUGUUUUGAUCAUAUCUCCCUCUUCCGAACUUGGAAUCAUGCACCGUUUUUUUUAAUGGAUUCCUUACUCUACUAGGAACAUUAUGUCAAAUUUUCCGAAUUUUUCUCCAUCGGGUCGACCAGUUGGAAUCCGGUUCGGCCGGUUCAGCCGGUUCAUUGAGUCAGCUGAGGUAAAACACUAAUUCUAGUAAUUUCGAGGCCCAAAUCCUACAUGGCUCAGGCCCAUAAGCUCCAUAUUGGUUUUGGGAAAUGUUGUGGGUCCAUUUUGGGCCUUGUUUUGGGUUCCUUGCAGCCCACCACGAAUCCAUAUGGGUUCUUGGUGGUGAAGCAAGCUGAAAAAACUGAAGAGAGUGAGCUGGCCUUGUAAGUCUAAGAGAAGUAAUGAGGGGUGUGGUUCCCAUGCUGAUGAAGGGAAUUUCGGUGCUGAAGGGGAAGGAACCCAGGAGGCUCAAAUGCUAAGAGGGGUAUGAGUAUAAAAGGUGAGAGGAUAGGAGAGCAAAGGACCUGGGACAUUUUGGAAAGGGGAAAUUCUGCUGGUGAGAAAAACAAAAGGUCUGUAGCAUCUUCUGAGUUGAGAGUGUGGGGGAAGCUUCAGCACUGUGGUUUUUUUGAAGAGGAGAGUGACAGCCUCUCAGUUUUGGAAGUCAUCAUUGGCAUGCACAAAUCAUAUUUGGUGGAGAUUCUAAAGUAAGCAUGCUGAAUUUUCUUUACUUACAACUUAUCUUCCUCGUCUUCAUAUGCUUUUUCUCCUUCCUCAUCAUCUUUUCUUCCCUUUGAUAUGAAGAUUGUAUUGCUUGGGUGUGUACAAUAAAGGCCACACAUGAUUGUUGUUGUUUGCUUCCUUAAUCACUUAGGAAUUUCCUGACCGAAUUUGGGAUUUUUUACCAACCGGCUGAACCGGUUUGGAACCGGUUCAACUGGUUCAGCACCAUGGCUGGCAGCAUCUGUCAGCCAUGAGGAGCACUUGCCUUUCUUUGUCUAGUUCUCACUCAUCCGGGGUCGGAAUUGAGAACCGUUUAUUUUUUUUGCUUCCUUAAUCACUUAAAAGCUUACUGACCAAAUUUGGGAUUUUUUAUCAACCGGAUAUACCGGUUUGGAACCGGUUCAACCGGUUCAGCACCAUGGCUGGCAGCCUCUGUCAGCCAUGAGGAACACUUUCCUUUCUUUGUCUGGUUCUCACUCAUCCGGGCUUGGAAUUGAGAACCGUUUCUUUUUUUUGCUUCCUUAAUCACUUAGGAACUUCCUGACCGAAUUUGGGAUUUUUUACCAACCGGCUGAACCGGUUUGGAACCGGUUCAACCGGUUCAGCACCAUGGCUGGCAGCCUCUGUCAGCCAUGAGGAACACUUGCCUUUCUUUGUCUAGUUCUCACUCAUCCGGGGUUGGAAUUAAGAACCGUUUCUUUUUUUUGCUUCCUUAAUCACUUAGGAACUUUCUGACCGAAUUUGGGAUUUUUUACCAACCAGAUGAACCGGUUUGGAACCAGUUCAACCGGUUCAGCACCAUAGCUGGCAGCCUCUGUCAGCCAUGAGGAACACUUUCCUUUCUUUGUCUGGUUCUCACUCAUCCGGGGUCGGAAUUGAGAACCGUUUCUUUUUUUUGCUUCCUUAAUCACUUAGGAACUUCCUGACCGAAUUUGGGAUUUUUUACCAACCGGAUGAACCAGUUUGGAACCGGUUCAACCGGUUCAGCACCAUAGCUGGCAGCCUCUGUCAGCCAUGAGGAACACUUGCUUUUCUUUGUCUGGUUCUCACUCAUCUAGGGUCGGAAUUGAGAACCGUUUCUUUUUUUUGCUUCCUUAAUCACUUAGAGCUUACUGACCAAANUUGGGAAUUUUUUAUUCAACCCGAUUGUACCAGUUUGGAACCGGUNNNNNNNNNNNNNNNNNNNNNNNNNNNNNNNNNNNNNNNNNNNNNNNNNNNNNNNNNNNNNNNNNNNNNNNNNNNNNNNNNNNNNNNNNNNNNNNNNNNNUCAGCACCAUAGCUGGCAGCUUCUGUCAGCCAUGAGGAACACUUUCCUUUCUUUGUCUGGUUCUCACUCAUCCGGGGUCGGAAUUGAGAACCGUUUCUUUUUUUUGCUUCCUUAAUCACUUAGGAACUUCCUGACCGAAUUUGGGAUUUUUUACCAACCGGAUGAACCAGUUUGGAACCGGUUCAACCGGUUCAGCACCAUAGCUGGCAGCCUCUGUCAGCCAUGAGGAACACUUGCUUUUCUUUGUCUGGUUCUCACUCAUCUAGGGUCGGAAUUGAGAACCGUUUCUUUUUUUUGCUUCCUUAAUCACUUAGGAGCUUACUGACCAAAUUUGGGAUUUUUUAUCAACCGGAUGUACCAGUUUGGAACCGGUUCAACCGGUUCAGCACCAUAGCUGGCAGCCUCGGUCAGCCAUGAGGAACACUUGCCUUUCUUUGUCUGGUUCUCACUCAUCCGGGGUCGGAAUUGAGAACCGUUUCUUUUGUUUGCUUCCUUAAUCACUUAGGAACUUACUGACAAAUUUGGGAUUUUUUAUCAACCGGAUGUACUGGUUUGGAACCGGUUCAAUCGGUUCAGCACCAUAGCUGGCUGCCUCUUUCAGCCAUAAGGAACACCUGCCUUUCUUUGUCUGGUUCUCACUCAUCCGGGCUCGGGAUUGAGAACCGUUUCUUUUGUUUGCUUCCUUAAUCACUUAGGAACUUAAUGACCAAAUUUGGGAUUUUUUAUCAACCGGAUGUACUGGUUGGGAACCGGUUCAAUCGGUUCAGCACCAUAGCUGGCUACCUCUUUCAGCCAUAAGGAACACCUGCCUUUCUUUGUCUGGUUCUCACUCAUCCGGGCUCGGGAUUGAGUGUCGUUUCUUUUGUUUGAAUCCUCACUCAUUUAGGAGUUUUCUAGAAAAAUUUGGGAAUUCUUCUCAAUGGGUUGUACCAGUUGAGAACUAGUUCAACCUGUUUUGUUGGAGGACUUUAGGUAGCCCUUGAUUUUGGUUUGGCAUUUUUCGAGCCCUUAUCCAUGGGGGGCUCAAACCCAUUUGUUAUAGGGCACUUGUGAGCCAUCUUGAAGGUUUAAGUCAGUGUUUGAUUUCAGUUAGUAUGGGCAAUUUUGAAGUUAUGGGUGGUGUGGUCUAGAUGAGUCUAGUUCGAUUUGUAUGACAUUUGGGGAGUCCCUUACCUCAUUUCAACCAGCUAUCCUCCUUUUUGGCACAAGCUUUGAUGCUUGAUUUUGAAUACAUUGUUGCGUGACUGACUCACCCUCUGCUGCAGCGCUUGGCUAGGGACCACAGGUACGCAUCGUUGGCUUUGGUUGUUGAAUUCAUAUGCAUGCAUGGUGCUUAAUCUUGAAUGUUUGUUAUGUGUUUAUCUAUGUUUGGCUGACCUUUUAUGCAGCGCUUGGCUAGGGACCACAGGUAUGCACCCAUCGUUUUGUUUGGUUGAAUUCAUAUGCAUGCCAAAUACCAAUUAGGAUUGUGUGAUUCAUGACAUCUAUUUAGCUUAGGGUUUCAUUUGACCUUUGACCCAUAUGCUCCCACAUACCCAAUUCAUUAGUAAAGACCGAGUUUCGGACCUAGAGGGGUGCUACCUCGCAUGAGGUACCUUCCCAACGGGUAACCUGAUCCCCGGACCCAGAAUCUAGUUUUCGUAGACCGCUUUUUCCAUACUGGGGUCAUUAGGGGUUUUUGUUCUUACUUAAUUUUCCCCAUUUUAAAAACAAAAAUAAAAAGUAAGUGGCGACUCCAAACAACACCGUUCCUCACCAAGGGCGGGUUUUUUCAAAACUGGAAAUCACCAACUUUUUCAUUUCUUUCUUUUCUUUUAAAAGCGAGUCGCGUCGGUCCGGUGGAUCGGGUGAGGGUCCACAAUUCCCUUAAUUAAUUUUUAAUUGAGUGUUAUUGUGUGUUAUGUAAACUCCGUUAUGUGAAUUCGGGUGGGUUUAUAUAACGAUGGUUUGUCACUAUAUUUCCAAAAGAGGAGAUUGUUAAGACAUCGAGUCUUGUUUGUAUGUUGGUAAUUUUGUUCCUUUUAAUGUUUGGUCAUACAAGUAUUUUUAAAUAGUGACUUGCUUUUCAUUGAAGAUCAUAAGUUACUUUUUAUCUAACCAGGAAAUCAUAGAUAUGUCUAAAAAAGUUUGGCUUGUGGCAAGUUCAACUCUAUUGAGGUAUAAAGAGGAUUGGUAAUUGUUUUAAACUUAAAAUUAAUUUUUAUAAGGUUUUUGGAAAAAAUGAGACGCUCAAGUGGGAAACAGCACUCAAGCACUCCACACCACUCGAGCACUAAAAGCACUUAAGCCACCUAAGUGGGCUCAAGUGGUCAUGAAUUUCCAUUAGAGAUUUUUUUAUGCAAAUCUUAUUUAGAAGUCUCCUAAACCAAAAUUCUUUGGGAUUUAUUCCCAUAUAUACCUCAUUAUAACCCCUUAAGGGUUAGAGAUUGUAUAGAAAUCAUUAGGAGAUCACAUAUUCUUUAAAAAUGGUUUCUUAGAGAGAAAGUCUAACAUGUCAUACUAUUCUCGAUUUUUCAUUCAAGGAUUUGAUAUUUGAAUCUUAGGUUGAAGACCUAUAUCCCUUCAACGAGGUUAAAAUAUAUUCACUGGAGCAACGAAGACUAUUGUGUCAUGAAUAUGGAUCAAGUUGUAGGUACUAAAGAGUAAGUCUUUAGGGUAAACCAACUAAGUAAAUUUAUGUAACUUGAUCUCAUAUAAUGGAUUUAAAUUAAUAGUUUUAGAUCUCAUAGUUUUUUUAUCUCAACAAUUAGUGUAAGGGUUUUCCACGUAAAAGUCUUUGUACCUCAUUGUUUAUAUCUUUUGAUUAUUUUGUUUGAAUUUCCUAUCAUUAUUUAAAUUGAUAAUCCCUAACUACUCAUAGGGUUAAAAAUUGGGCAUAAUAUUUAAUCCUUAUAUUAUAAUUUUUAAACACAUCCAUUCACCCCCCUUUAGGUGUUACCUUGAAUCAUUUUUAUUUAAUUGGUCUAGAAAGAUGGAAGGAAUGGUGAUAUUCAUACCUUUAUACACACACACACACACACACACACACACACACACACACACACACACAUCAAAUACAACAUGUAGAAGGUGUUUGAUAAAUCAAUUUAAUGAUUUAAUACCUUAAUUCAAAUCAUUAAGUAUAUUAAGCAUGUUUGAUAAAAUAACUUAAUAUUAUAAUUUAAAUUUAACUUUAAGUAUUAAGUCAAAAAAGUUAACUCAUUCUUAAUUUCGAAUAUUUUUUGUGUCAUUUGCCUACACAUGAAAAUAUAUUUUAGAAUUAUGAUUUCACAUCUAUAACUAAAUUUUUAAUAGUAAAUAUUAUAUGAUUAUUUCAUAUAUUUACAAUACUUUGAUUAUGAAUUUUUAUAAAUAAAUUUAUUACUUAAAAUUAAUGAAAAUAAAUGAGUUAAAAUGAACGACGAUAAAUAUUAGUUAAAAUUAACAAGAGUAAACAUGUUGAUUUAACUUAACAACUUAAGAACAAUUUACCUUAAAAAAGUCAAUAACUUGAGAGCAAUUUAAAUUAGGAAAAUCAACUUAAGUCAUUAAGUGUUAAGUAUUAAAUUUGAUCAAACACCCAUGUAGUUUUUUUUUCCUUUUUUUCUUUUUUUCUUUUUUUUUUUUCAAAAUUAUACCAAGGCAAUUAGCCAUAGACAAGAAUUAAGAUUUAAUUAGACUGAACUGAUGACUGGAGUUAUUCAAUUAAUUCCAGAAUAAGGAUUUUUUGCUAAGAUGAUGUUUGAGCAGAGUACGAUUGAGGUUAGAGUUGGUGUCCAUAGUUUCCUAGCUGGUGAUGGAUUUCAUCUGGAUUCUCAGAAGAUAUAUGAACUGCUUACAAAAUUGGAGAUGCAAAUGGUCAAGGAGGUUUAGAUUCCUAAUUUGGAUUUUCUACUUCGUGAUAUAGAGGCAAUUUUAUAAUUUUGGAAGUGUUGAUACACAAACUUAUUCAAUCCAUUGCAGAUGUUCCAAUUCAAAUCCAUUGCUAUUGGAUAUGCAUCAUGUGUGAUAUUGGAUUUUACUGGCUAUCUAUUGGAAUAAUAUCUUAUGGAUUUGAAAAUUGGAAGAUAUAUAAAAGCAAGAAAACCAUUAAGAACAUUCAUUGGAUGGUGUUAGCCAAUCAACUUUUGCUAUAAAGAAGUGAUAUCUGUUGAAAGCAAUGAGACUACUACUUGAGAUGGAUUUUGUUUCACAUGAGUUAACAUUUUUGGGAACACGCAAUUGAUUAGGAGAAAGAGUUUGGCAAGAGGAUUAGAGGGAGAGACUAUUUAUGGAGUAGGUUAAAGAUAUAAUAGCCAUGUUGCUUUCCAGAUCAUGCUAGAUAGAGGCCUCAAGUUCAACCAACUUUAGCAGUUACAAGUUGUACUUUGGCAACCGAUUCCCUGGAAAGCCAACACUACAAAAAAAAAAAAAAAAAAAAGGUUUUUAAUGACGAAUUUUUAGUCACGACCACAAAUAUCGUGACCAAAGAUAUUAUUUUGUCACAAUUUAAGGUAAAAAAAAAACAUGUUUAGUCACGGUGAUUUUAUCAACCGUCACCAAAAGGAUUGAGGAAAGGGUAUUUUAGUGACAGAUUUAUUUGAAAUCGUUUGUAAAUUUAGGGAGGAAAUUUUGGCGCCAAUAAUUUUAGUCACGGUAAUUUUAUCAUUCGUGACAAAAAGUGUAAUAAAUGGUGUUUUAGCCCAUUUUUUAUGUAUAUAUAUAUUGUGACUUUUAGUCAUGCCAUUGAUUGACGGUGACUAUAUGGGAACUUAUAGUCACAAAUUUCACAUUGACCAUGACCAAAUGCAUAGAUGUUUAUUUUAAAUAUUUUGAACUUAUGGUCACGGGGUUCACACAAUCGUGACCAAAGUCUAUUAUUUAUUUUAAACCAUUUUUUGGUUAUAUAUGUAUAUAUAUAUAUAUAUCAUAGAAAUUAUCAUUAAUAGUAAUAAUAAUAGUUCUUAUUAAUUAUAAAAAGUUUAAAGUUAUAUUAUUAUAUUUUUUUUAAGUUAAGAAACAAAUUAGUGUGUUACCAUUUUUCUUUAGUUAAAAUUAUUUAAUUUCCUUGUUAUGAUUAAUGUUUUAAUAAGAAGUAAAAUAAAGUUUAAUAUAUUAGUUUAAAAAUAUGAUGCUUCAAUUUGAUAUUAUUUGAUAAAAUGUUUAAAUGCAAGUAAGUUAGCAAAUUAAAAAACAAUUUUGGUUUUAUAUAUGAUAAAUAAUUCUUAUUGUAUUUAAAGUAUCAAUAAAAGUGAUAACUAAAUUUUACUAUUAACAAUUAAAAUCAAAAUAAUCUUCAUAAUAGGUUUAUUAAUAAUAGGUUAAUGAUAAUAGGUUUUAUAUUAUUAAUAAUAGCUUUUAUAUAAAAGCAUUAAGAAUUUGAUUGGCCAUUGAUAUAUUUUUUUAAUUAGGAUGAUAAUAAGAUAAGUUAUUAUAAGAAGAUUUUAUUAAAUUGUAGUUACUUCUUUUUUUAGUAAACUUAAAUUUACUAAACAUGUAACAAGAAUAAUGUUUUAGUUAACUAUUAAAAUUUUAAAACAUAGAACUUGAUAAAUUUGUAAUAUAAAAUUUUAAAACUUGAUAAGCCUGAUAAAACUUGAUAAAAAUUUUAAAAUAAAACUUUGAAAAUAAAAAUUUAAAAAUAUAAAUCUUGAUAAAUUUCUCAUAUAUAAUUAUAAAAUUUUAAAUUUUAAAACUUGAUAAAAAAAUUAAAAUAAAAUUUUAAAAUAUAAAACUUGUUAAAUUUCUAAUAUAAAAUUUUUAAAUUUUAAACUUGAUAAUUUUAAAAAUUCAAAAACUUGAUAAAACUUAAUAAAAAAUUUAAAAUAACACUUUGAGUAAAACAUUGAACUUUCAAAAUUAAUUUUAAAUUUAAAAAUAAUUUUAAAAUUUUAAAACUUGAUACUUUUAAAACUUUCAAAAUUAAAUGAGUUAAAUGAUUUUUAAAUAAUUAAAUGAGCUUAAAUAAUUUUUAUAUUUUUAAUAAUUAGAUUUUUUUUGUUAGACUUUUAUGCCAUCAAUUAUCUUUGUAAUUUAAAAAUAAUUAAUUAAAUUUUAUAUGGUAUAAUCAUGAGCUUAAAUUUUAUGUAUUUAUUCUCCAACUAAUUGAUGGGUUAUACAAACAACAAAUUUGCCUUGAAUGGUGCACUAAUCCUUUAAAUCAAAUAUCAAUGGGUAUUAUCCCCAAAACGAUAGUUAAUAAAUAUAAUUAAAAUUAAAUAAAUUAUUUAAUAUCUAAAUAAAAAUAUUUUAAAUAAAUAAAUAGACAAAUAAUAAUAAUUUUUAGAAAAUUUUUAUUUUUUCUUUAUUUCUCUCACGAUUUUUUCCUCAAAUUUCCUAGUAACGAACUUUUCAGUAACCUGAAAUUGCCCUUGAACUUUUUGAAAAAUUACUACUCUCUUUCUUCCUCUUCAAAAAACCCUAGUUUUCUGAAACCCUAAAUCCAACCAUAAAAUCAAGGGGCCUCUAUAUUUCUCACACUGCAUCUUCUACAAAUAAAGAAUUGGUAAAUUCCUCUUAUAUUAAAUCCUAGUUUUUAUUUUCUUUAAUUUGAUGUCAGUUUGGUUUUUGAGAAUAUAUGGGAAAUGGGCAGGGUUAAUGUGAAAUUUUUUAGGGGACAAGUGUACCACCUCACCUAGAACCCAUCAAGCCAAUAAUUGAAAUAUGCUCUCCUCCUCGAAGACACAACUUCUUAUGGAACUAUUUUCCUUUAGGGGUUGGACUGGGUUUUGAUCAGUGCCUAAAAUUACGUUUUAUGAAUAUGUUUGCUUUGUUAAUUCGUUUGGUUUGUGGGUUGAUAUGUUGCCUUGUGAUUUUCCAUUAUGAUUGUUGUGUGUAUGUGGAUGAAAAACAUCGCUUAUUUCAUGUUUCUUAUUGGAAUCAAUCUUCUAUAACCUCUUUUCGAUACUCUUUGACACUGAAAAUUGGGUUUUUUUUUUUUUUUUUGCUUGCUUGGGUUUUAUUUUUAUUUUAUUUUUGAAUUUUAAAUUUUGGGAUAUACACAAACCCUAACCCUAUUUCUUCAUUUUCUUUCCCGUAACCGGUGGUAUUGUUGGUAACGACCGACAACAACAACUUGGUUGGGCGCAAACAUUUUUUAUUUUUUUUUUGUUUCAAUGUAAAAAAGCAUUAGUUACCAAAUGAAGAAAAAAUAUUUUUGUUGCCUGUGAGAAAAAAAAAAGAAAAAAAAAAUUCAUAACAAAGUUCACCAAAUCAAGUAUUCGUCAAUAUUUUUAGAAAUAAAUGGGUUUAUGAAAUGCUUAUAAAUCCAACUUCAUCCAUUCAUAAAAGAGAUUAAUUAGACUUGGUUUCUUUAUAGGUAAAUUACUGAGAAGCAUCUCUGUGCCUAGUAGCCUCCUACUAGAAAUUUAAUUGGGAUGGUAGUCUUUAUGCUUUUGCAUAAGUUAAUUAUAGAUAUUCUUACCUCUAGGGUUUUUUGGUUUGGUAAAUUGUGUGGUUUUAUUUUAAGUUGAUCUCUUUAUUAUCAUAUAAUAUACUAAGUUUUGUAAGUUCUUAUACAUUUUAUGUUUUUGAAAUAUAUGAAUUUGAAAAGUUAGUCCAACAUUGAACUUGGACCCCUUUGGAAACUGCUCCUAAAAAUGUUUCUUGAAUACUUCAUAACAUAAUACAAUUUCAAACUUAAUUUGACAAUUUUGGAUUAAAAAUAAUUUUUUUGAGAAUUUAUUCUAAAAGCAAGAUGAUUUUCAGAAUUUAUUUUGAAAAUAGAAUAAUUCUUAAAAACAAAUUUUAAAGUCCUUUUAGGUAUUUUCUUUUUCAAAAUGUUUUGAAAUAUAACUUAAAAAAUAGAAAGUAGAUAAAAAAAUAUAUAUUGUAUGUACAUAUAUAUAUAUAUAUAUGUAGUACCUUCAUGAAAAAUAGGUGAAGAACAUAAUUUUUUUAUCUUUGAAUUCCCAAAUAUAAUUUAAGAACUAUUAAUUAAACCAUAGGUUAUAUAAGACUACCUUUUUAUUCUACCAUGCUCAAACCCAAAGUAAAAUCAAUCAUUAGGAAAUGUAUGCAAAAGUAGUAGUUUCACCCAUGGGCAUCUAUCUUAACUCAGAAGCAACCAAAUAUUAUAUAAGUUUCAGUAAAAAUGAUUUGCUACUUUAAUUUUUUAAAUUUGUUUUUAAAAAAUUAUUAAUAUUUUAAGAUAAGUUUUUCAAAGUUUAUAUCUUAUGUUAAAAUUAUUAUUAUUUUUUAAAAAGAAAAAGCUUAUUUAAAUAAUACCUUCAAGAUUUUUUUUUUUUAAUUAGCAUAUGAUGGUUGACUUUAGUGAAAUAUUUACAUUUUUAAUUAUUGUCAAAAGUAAAAAAUAAAAAAUAGAAAUUUUAAAAGUGAUACAAGUAAAAUCUAUUCUCAAAUUUAUAUCUUUCUUUUUAUUUAAUUUAUAAGUUGUGUCUUUUUUUUUUUUUAAAUAAAGUAAUUAGUUUUUAAAGUUUAAAGAUAGUAAACUUAUAUAAUAUUUUUAAUUAAAUAUGCUCUCAAAUAAUAUCCUACUUCCAAAACAACUUCUGAACAAAAACCAUUUUUUAUUAAAUAAUAAUAAUAAUAAUAAUAAUAAUAACAAUAUCAAACCUAUUCUAGAAAAAGAAUAAGAAUAUUUAUAAAAAAAAUAAUUUUUUGUACCCAAAUUAGAAAAUUAUGAAAUUUCCAAAUACUUCCAAGUUUGUGCAUAUUGAAAAUUUGAAAAUACUUAUAACUUUGUACAUUUUUCACAAUUCGAUUUUAAAUAAAAAUUAUUGAAAAAAAGAAAAGAGAAUAAUACCAAAAUAUAAUCUUGAUUCCCAAAACUACUUGGGGUGUAAUAAAGAGUUAGGAUUUUAAGUCCAAAUUUUAAUUUUGUUCACGCUUAGGAUUAGAAUUUCUCAUUUAGUAUUUUAUUUAGACUAAUUUUUUAGAGAGCAUACUUGUUAGCCAAUUCUGAAUUUUUAAGCAUGUUUAUUGUAUUUUCUUUCAUCUAUUUAUACCUUACCCUUUCGUUACUUCAUGAUCUAAGAUAUGCAUAUGUUGCAUCUAUUGUGAAGCCUUAUCUAUGAUUUUAUAUUUUAUUAUUGUUAUCUGUGAACUAACCCUCGUUGAUUUUAUGCAAUAGAAAUAUUAGUAAUUCAUUUCUAUAAAUUAUCGAAUGUGUUAGUCUCAUUGUGUGUUUUUAUCUAUUUCUUUUCUAAUGUUAUUUGUCAUUAAUUUUAUCAUUUAAUCAUUUUCAUUUUAGAAAACCCUAGAAAUCCCUUCAAGUAUCCUUGCUUGACAAAUGUCUCUUUUAUCAUAUACUAAAAACAUAGAAGUUGUAGAAUUGUGGAUAUGAUUAUUUAUUGUAGUCAUAUUCAAGUUUUCAACCUAUAUGUUUUGUAUAUGAUUGGUAGAAUUGUUUGCAAAUGAUGCUUGAAUUGUCCGUUUGGACAGUUUGGAAAUACAUAAUAUCUAUAAAAUAACACGCCUAUGCUUUAGCAUAUUGAUAAGUUUUAACAAUGAUUCUCGUUGUUCUCUGGGUGCAUAUUUGGAGAAGGUGACAUAUUGUUAGCAGCUUAGUUAAGCUAACUAAUAGUAUGUUUAUAUCUUAGCCAAUUCGUGUACUUGGAGAACUAUGGGCAAAUGCUGCCGAAAUUUUAUCAAAAUGAAACUAAGCAUGUUAGUGAUUGAUUCGUAGGGAUUAUGUAUUUCUAAAUGGGAUAGUAACCACUACCAAAUAUAGGAAUUUUGAGAUGAUAAAAAACAUAUCACAUUCAUUAUAAGUUGAUAUGAAGAUUCAUUGUUAUGUGAUUGAAGGGUUUAAUUUGUGGAAGUACAAAAAAAAUGCCAAUAGAUAAGAGUUGGAUGCAAAAGUCAAGAGUAAGUAGCGAAUAUCAUAAAGGAGUUUUGGAGUUCUUAGACUUUGCCUUUAGCAAUGCACUUGGAAAAGAAAUGCUUUCAUGUCCUUGCAUUUGUUGCAAUAAUUGUCUUAUGUAGAAGCGAGAAAUCAUGUAUAACCAUUUGUUGGACAAUGGGAUAGCUAGAAAUUAUGUGCGAUGGUUGAUGCAUGGGGAAUAUGAGUUUUGUGAACCUACAAAUACUAUUACUAAUGAGUCUCCUAUGCAUGAUGAGAUGCAAGAAAUGUUAAAUGAUGCAUUUGGAAUGUCAAUGUCAAAUGAGGAAUCUAAAAGAAGUCCACAUGUGCAUGAGGAGUUUGAAAAACCAAAUGAGGAUGUAAACAAAUUUUAUAAUUUGUUAAGAGAAGCAGAGCAGGAACUAUAUCUAGGGUGUAAAAAAUUCACAAAGUUGUCUUUUAUCAUAAGAUUAUUUCAUAUGAAGUGUCUUAAUGGAUGGAGCAAUAAGUCCUUUACAAUGUUGCUUGAAUUGUUGAAGGAGACACUUCUUGAGGGUGAGACUUUGCCAAGCAACUAUUAUGAAGCAAAAAAAAAAAAAAAAAAAAAAAACUUCAUGACCUUGGUCUUCAUUAUAUCAAGAUUGAUGCAUGCCUCUCAUAUUGCAUGUUGUAUUCAAAAGAGCAUGCAAAUGCAAAUGAGUGUGUUGUUUGUGGUGUCUCUAGAUGGAAAUCAAGUGAUGAUCAUUCUAUAGAUGCGUUCACUAAUUCAGUAAAGAAAGAGAAAAUUCCUACUAAGGUCUUGUGUUAUUUUCCUUUAAAACCAAGGCUUCAAAGGUUUAUAUGUCAUAUAAGACAGCUUUUCACAUGAAAUGGCAUGUUGAUGGUUGCAUGGAAGGUGAGAUGAUGAGGCAUCCAGUGGACUCUUUGGCUUGGAAAAACUUCGAUAACGUACACCCUUCAUUUGAACUAGAACCUCGAAAUGUUAGGCUCAGUUUAGAAAGUGAUGGGUUCAAUCCUUUUGGGAAUAUGUCAAUUUCAUACAGCAUGUGGCCUGUGGUUCUUAUUCCAUAUAACUUACCACCUUUGAUGUGUAUGAAACAUGCAUUCUUCAUGUUGUCACUACUUAUUCUUGGUCCAACUACACCUGGGAAUGACAUUGACAUAUACUUACAACCAUUGAUAGAUGAGUUGAAUGACUUUAUGGGACGUUGGAGUUGAAACAUAUGAUGCUUCAGCAAAACAAAUUUUUUGUAUGUGUGCAGCUAUAUUAUGGACCAUCAAUGAUUUUCCUGCAUAUGAAAAUCUUUUAGGUUGGAGUACUAAAGGGAAUUUUGCUUGUCUUAUUGGUAAUAAGGAUUGUUCUUUAUUUCAAUUACAAAACGUACGAAAAUGGUGUUAUAUGGGUCAUCGUCGAUUUUUGCCGAUUGAUCAUAUAUUUCGACGUGAUAAAAAGUCCUUUGAUGGAAAGGAAGAGCAUAGAGCAGCACCUAAACAAUUGUCUAAGGAAGAUGUUCUACAUCAGUUAUAUGGAAUGGAACAUAUUACUUUAGGGAAGACAUAAAAAAUAAGAUGUCAACAAAAAGAAAAAGAGAACAUGUUGAACUUGAGCACAAUUGGAAAACCCUCAUUUUGCGUCACAAUUUAGAUGUAAUGCAUAUUGAAAAGAAUAUAUGUGACAGUAUAGUUGGCACCUUGUUGAGUAUUGAUGGUAAAUCGAAGGAUAACUUCAAUAGUUGUCUUGACUUGCUAGCUAUGGGUAUUAGAGAUCAAAUUCACCCCAUACAAAGAGGGAAUAAGGUUAUAUUGCCUGCUGCAUGCUAUUCACUAACUUCAAAUGAAAAAAAAGGAAUUUUUUAAAUUUUUGAAAGAAGUAAAGGUUCCAGAGGGUUAUGCUUAUAACAUUUCUCGGAGUCUGCAAGUGAAUGAAAGAAAGAUAUUUGGAUUGAAGUCUCAUGAUUUUCAUGUUCUCAUGCAACAGUUUCUUCCACUUGCAAUUCGAGGAGUUCUACAUAAGAAUGUUUGUGCUAUUAUAGUUGAACUAUAUAGUUUCUUCAAACAAUUGUGCUCUAAAGUUUUAAAGACUAAUCAAUUGGAGCACCUUGAGAAUGACAUAAUAGUCACACUUUGCAAAUUAGAAAAAAUAUUUCUUCCAUCAUUCUUUGAUGUUAUGGUGCAUUUACCUAUUCAUCUUACAAGUGAGGCAAAGGUCGUUGGACCGGUGCAAUAUCGAUGGAUGUAUCCUAUCGAGCGGUAUGUUCUCAUUCAAUUAAUCUUAUGUAUAUUAGGUUUCAUAUAGUUCAUGAAACAAAUCUAUCAUGUUGUGGAAUGACAGGUAUUUACGUACAUUAAAGUCUUAUGUCUGUAAUAAGAGUCGUUUAGAAGGUUCUAUUGCAAAGGGUACAUAGCAGAAGAAUGUACAACCUUUUGUUCAAUAUAUUUGUAUGAUGUUGAAAUGAAGCAUGACCGUGAAGGAAGAAAUUGUGUCAUUGAAAAUAACAUAACAAAUGGAGGGUUAACCAUUUUCAAAUUCAUGGGACGUACAAUAGGAAAGUCAACAUCUCGUGUUCUUAGCAUAGAAGAAUGGUCCUAAGCACAUUUAUAUGUGUUGACUAGUUGUGAGAAAAUGACGCCAUUUAUUGAGUAAGACAUUUGAAUAAAACUUUAUACUAAUUCUCAUGCAAAAAUUUAAUUUUGGUCUUUGUGAGCAUUAUAAUUAAUUUUAUCUUUUUUAUCAAAGAGCAUAAGCAAUCUAUAAGGAUUAAGCCUCGUAUUCGUGCACGAGAUGUAGAUUUGAUUCACAUAAGAGAAUUCAUUAGUUGGUUUGAAGAACGUGUAAGUUCAUUCACUACAUAAAUUGUUAUAUUAUCUAAUACACAUGUAUGUAUUAACAUCUUAUAUUUGAAUCUAUAGAUUAUACAAAUGCGACAUGAAGGUCCAAUUUCUAAACACAUACUAUCAUUGUCUCGUGGACCAAGUACAUCAGUUACAUGUUAUAGGGAUACAUCAUUAAUGGGUUCAAAUUUCACGCAAGAGAAUGAGAAAAUGGAAAAAGAAAUCAAAAUAGUGGAGUUGUUGUGACCAUAGAGGUGUCAAGCUUUGCAAGUGCAAUAGAUAAGAACCCAAUUCCUAGUCAUGUUUCUUACUAUGGUGUGCUAACUGAUGUAAUUGAGUUACAUUACCUUAGUGGAAAUAGAGUUAUUUUAUUCGAGUGUGACUGGUGGGAUGUAAUCAAUAGUGGAAGGGGAAUAAAGAAUGAUGAAUAUGGGUUCACGUGUUUGAAUAUUGAAUGUACCAUAUGCACAGAUGAACCAUUUGUGCUUGCAUCUCAAGCAAAACAAGUCUUUUAUGUUCAAAAUUCAAAUGAGGAAAAUUGGCACACCGUUGUAGAGAUACAAACUCAAAGGGUUUAUGAUAUGAAUCAGAAAGUAACUACUAAUGAUCCAGAGCCAUAUCAAUAGCUUAUAACACUUCAUAGUCAACGUGAUGUGUAUGAGUUAGUCGAGAAUGAUUUAAUCAAUUGGGAUAGAAAUGAUAUUGUAGGAGAAACUAUCCAAACAGAUGUUCUACUAUCACGACAAGAAAACAUUAUUGAAAAAGAUAAUGAAUUUAUUCAUGAUGAUGAUAUAGAUGAUGUGUAGCUAAUAAUAUUAGUAAAUACAUAAAUAUAUACUUACUAGAUAUACAAAUUGUAAUUUAUUUCAUAUUAUUUAUGUAACUUAUUUUGUAUUACUUUUUCUAAUUUACUUUAUUAUGUAGGAAAUGUCACAUUGAAUAGGAAGAGUACAAAUAGUGUGUCUAGAAGAUGAGUUAGACAAUCUAUAACAACUCUCAGACAUACAACCUGCUGCAACUACUACUUCUAGUAGUUCUAGUCCUUCUGAUUCUUUAGAUCCUUCUGUUGUUGGUAUGAUUAAGAAGAUUAUGUUUAACUUUACAUAUGAUAAAUGAGGUUUAAUUUCUUGAAUGAUAGGUUUUUAAUGUUUAAUUUUAUAUAAGAUAAGUAAAUUAUGUUUCUUUUAAUUUCAUUAUUACUCUUAAUAGGUUCCUCCUCUAGCAAAAAGAGGACACGUGACCCAAGACGUAACUUAGAGAUUUACUUAGUAUUAAACCCGGGGAAAAAAAAACUACACGAUUCAAUACCAGAGGGCAAGUUGUUUAUGAUGAAAAAGGGGAAAAAUUGUCAAGCUAUAUGGGAGCAUUGGUGCGAUCUCAACACAAUGUACCCAUCCAAGUUCAAGAUUGGAAUCAUGUUAGUGAAGAUGUGAAGGAAAAGAUUUGGGCCUUAGUAUUGGUAUAUGCUAGUUACUAUUCAAUCUAAAUUGAAAUGUUAUUGUCUAAAAAUGAUACCUCUUAUUUAUACAUGACAUUUUAAUGCAAUAUAGAAAGAAUAUGAACUAGAAGAAACAUGUAAGAGCUACAUUCUUCAAUGUUGUGGAAAUUUGUUUAGAAGCUAUAGAAAUAAAAUGAAGGCCAAGUAUUAUAACCCUUAUAAUACAGAUGAGGAGAGAUUGAGGCAUCGACCUCCACACUUAUCAAAUGAUGAUUGGAGGUGGCUCAUCCACUUUUGGGGCACACUUGAGGCCAAGGUAAAGAUAAUGAUUUUUUCUUGAUAAUGUAUCUUAUGAUACUCAUAUUCACAUAAAAUGAUAUUUAUUAGUUAUAUCUAACCUAAUACUUCAUAUAUGUAACUUUUAUUAUGUUUCUAUUACCUAUAUAGGUGACUUUCUAUUUUUUAAUUGAUGUAGGAUAUCUCAGAAAAAAAAAAAAGGCAAAUAAGGUAAAGCAAGUGAUAUAGCAUUCAUCGGGAUAAAAAAGUUAUGCUCAAAUUUGAUAUGAACAGGUUAGAAAUUUAUUAUUAAUAUGAUUUGUUUGUACAUAAAUAAUUCAUCAUAAAUAACUCAAUUGUUUUGCUUGUAAGAAUAGACACAAAAGAAGGAGGAUCGAAGUCAGCCUAAUAGAAUUGAGAUGUUUGCCCUAACACAUACAAAAAAAAAAUGGGACGCCUGUUGAUGAUCAUUCUAAGGAGAUUAUGGUAAUGAAGUAAAUAAAUUUAUAUACUUGUAUUUCAAUCAUAGCCACAUACUAAAAUUAUUUUAAAAGUCUAACAAUUUUUUUUGUUUUUUAUAAUUCCAGGAUCAAUUUUAGUAAUUACUAUCCCAACCUGAGGGGACAUCUUCUUCUGCUUCUAUAUCAUCUAGAGCAUCUACAUCUGUAGCAUCUACAUCUGUAGAUGAGAUAUAUACUCAACUCAUGGGUCUAGAGAGGCAUGACCAUGUUCGAGGGUAUGAAUUUGGUCCUAUUCCUACCUCAGUCUUUGGUUUUACUAAUAGAAGGCGAUCAGGAGUUAUUCUUUCAACACAACUUGAAAAUCCCCAAGAGAUGCUAAUAGAUAUAGAACAAAAGUUUACAACUACAACUAAAACACUCUCAAAUGUGAAAGAGAAACUCUCACAUGUGAAAGAAACAUUUGAAGAGAGGUUGAUAGAAGUUCAAAGGAAGACAUGAGAAGAAGUGAAAGAAGAGUUUGAAGAAAAAAUUAUGGAAAUGCUAAGAAAAAUGCAAGCACAAAUUCAAGAACAGAUGAUGCAAAUGAUGCAACAAUUUUAGCAAAAGUAGUAGAAAUUUGAAGAUUUUGCUACAUCUUUAUAUGAUAAAUUCUCUUUUUUUUUUUUGAAGAUUAUGCUACUUAUUUAUAUGAUAGAUUUUCCUAACUUUUUUUUUGAAGAUUGUGAUGUUUGGUUGGUUGAUUUGUUAUAUUAUGUUAGAAUGUGAAACUAAAUUUGAAUUUCUUUGUUCUUUGUUUGUUUGCUUUUUUUUUUUUUUUUUUUGUUAUAUUAUGUUUUUGUUAUUUCAUGACUUAUAUUGACAUAUAAGUUUUUAACUAGCUUGGGAUAAUUGAUUGUAAUAUAUUGAACUAUAUUGAAAUUGUUUUAAUUGUUUAAUUGCAUAUAUAGGUCUAAAAUGAGUUUUUUUUAGGUUUAUAACAAGUUUGGGAAAUUUGAAUUUAUAAAAGACCAAUGUCUAAAUAUAACAAAUUUUAGUCACGACCACUAAAAAAUUGUGACCAAAAGUGUACUUUUAGUCACAAUCAAUAAUGAACCAUCAUAAAAAGUUGGGGAUAGGCAAACAUUAUAUGAUUAAUUUUAGUCAUAGUCAUUAAUAGUCAUGACCAUAAGUGUACAUUUUGUCAUAAUAGACCUAACAAUUAGUCACAGUCACUUAAUUAAUCGUGACCAUAUACCUACAUUUAGUCACGAUUAAUGAAUUAACUGUGACCAUAAGAUUACAUUUAAUCACAAUCAUUUAAUUAACCGUGACUAUAGACAUACAUUUAGUCAUGAUUAAGGAUUGAUCGUAACCAUAAGUUUACAUUAAUCCAUAAGUUGACAUUUAGUCACGGUAACUUACUUGACCAUGACCAUAAGCUUACAUAUUGUCACGAUCACUAACUUUACCCGUGACUAUAAGUGUACAUUUAGUCACAAUUUAUUACUUGACCAUAACUAUAGGUUAAACAUAUAGUCACAAUUUAUUACCUGACUGUGACUAAAUCAACUAAUAAACAAUAAAAUAUUUCUAACUUUUGGUCACAAUUUUUGUAUGGCCAUCACAAAAAAAGAAAUCAUAUGAUCACGAUCACUUAGGAAACUGUGACCAAUACCUUUAGCUACGUCUCGUACUGUGAAGCUUGGUCACGGUUUCAUAAGACCGUGACAAUAGGUUUUGGUCACGGAUAUAUUAAGAUUUGGUGAUGGUUGGGGACCGUCACCUAAAAUCCUAUUUCUUGUAGUGUAAAGAUAUUUAUAAUGGAAGCCCAUUUCAGAUUGCUUGGCCCUUUCAUGCAGUAGGUAAAAGUCAUCUAAGUGCUGUGUUACUGUGCUGUCAUUUUGCUUAAUCCGUUUAGUUUUGGUUCUUGACUUUGCAUAAUUUCAGAUUUUAUUUAGUUCAGAAUUGAUUUGGCUUAUGUUCAAUCCUUCAGAUGUGUGUAAAUCCAAUGUUUUAACACUAGAGAUUAUUGCUAUUUAGAGAGCAAUCUUUUUGGAAAGUUUUGAAAGACAACAAACAGUGCCUUUCUCAAAGAAAAAUGCUUUCCUGAGGAGAUUAUUAUGUAAUUAUCAGCAAUGGUGAUUGUUUAAAGAUGAAAGUGAGGGAUUGUGUUGAGCCUGGUCCAAAAUCCUCACAUGAUUCCUAAAUAGGCUGAUUCCCAUGCUCUGUUUUUUGUUUCCUGGGUUGCAAAAACCCCAAAUCUUCAAGAUCUGAAGGUGCUAUGUCUGGAAACCUGGUUAAUCAAAUGUCACCAAGUCAAGGAUGCAUGUCUAGAACGAAUAUUUUCUGGUUUUCAAGAAAGCUGGAUUGGUAGAUAUUGCAGCUUUCAACUUUGCCAGUGUACUAUCCGCCACUUGACUGCAGCCCAGUGGACUUGUCCAUCCUAGCAGCAGAAUAAAGGGGAUCCUUCCUCAUGCGUGAUCAGAUGCCUCGGUCGAUCAAUCACAGCUCAAAUAUGUUUAGUAUAAAGGUGGAGCUUCGAACUCGCGACAUCCUAAAAAACCUAUGUGUUCAAAGCACUAUGAGGGUCAAAUUAAAUAAGAAUUCUAAAAUUCAUGGAUGGAAGCUUCACAUAAGCACAUUAUGCUAAUUGUAAAAAAGCAAAUAUAUUCUUAAUGGAGAAGUAUUAGACAAUUUUCUCAUUCUAAUGCUUUUGGGAGAAAGGAAAGAAAAAAGAAGGAAGAAAAUAAAAAAGAAAAAGUAAAAAGAGAAAGUGGAGAUUGGCCUGGCCAAAACACUGGAAUUAAUGCAAGUGGCAGGAAGAGAAUCGAUGCCCACCACUACACUGUGAAACAAGACAAAAGACAAUCACGUAAUAGGAAAUGAGGCACGAGGAAAAAGUACUUUCUAUAUAUAAUCUUCAAAAUUGAAUGCCUCAGCAGCACCUACUCCACUAGCGUUGAUAACUUUUUCUAGCUUAUUUCAUCCUUCUACCCCUCCAUUCUCAUGUCUCUGCGGAAGAGUAUGGUUAACAGAGGUCUCCUCAUUCUCACCUGCUUCUUCUCAUUCGUGAUUCAGCUAUGCUUGGCUUCAAAGACCAGGCACUUCAAAUGGGAAGUGGAGUACAUGUACUGGUCACCAGAUUGUAUGGAGGGUGUCGUGAUGGGAAUCAAUGGGCAGUUCCCAGGGCCAACUAUCCGGGCUGUUGCAGGAGAUACUAUUGUAGUUGAGCUCACAAACAGGCUUCACACUGAGGGUGUCGUCAUUCAUUGGCAUGGAAUCAGACAGGUUUUGGUUUUCGUCUAUUUUGCAUUCGAUAUUAUAUUCUUAUCCAUUAACUCAUGAUUCAAACUUUUGAGCGAAAUUCCACAGUUCGGAACUCCAUGGGCAGAUGGGACUGCAUCCAUCUCACAAUGUGCCAUUAAUCCUGGAGAGACCUUCAUCUACAGAUACAAAGUUGAUAAGGUAAAGUCAGUGUCUUAUGGCCUCUCUCUCAUAUAUUAUUGACCUGCUCCACUUGAUGGAUUAUUUUCAGAGGACCCCAGCACUUCUUGAUUGGUCAGUUUCUUGUAGUGGCCGCUUAAGCCAUGCUCUUACAAAGUUGUGAAAUGUUAUGGUGCAGGCUGGCACAUACUUUUACCAUGGACACUACGGAAUGCAAAGAUCUGCUGGACUGUAUGGAUCUCUGGUAGUAGAGGUUGGUGAAGGUCAAAAGGAACCUUUCCAUUACGAUGGGGAGUUCAAUCUGUUGUUGAGUGAUUGGUGGCAUAAGGGAAGUCAAGAGCAAGAAGUGGCCCUCUCGUCCAAACCAUUUCGUUGGAUUGGCGAACCCCAGGUAACCGUCAAUCUCUUCUUGUCCCUAUUUUCUACGCCUCUACGGUCAAUUUCAAAACGGUCGUUUUUCAGUAUGGAGUAGUUGGUAUUUGGUGAAACCCUUGUCUUGUUGACUACGUUUUGAAAUUAUUAAGCACCAAAAAACUGGGGGAAAAAGUCAAAACAAGAGGAAGUCUUGGUUGUCCAUUAAUCAUUAAUUCUGUGGAAUAUUGUUUUCAGACUCUGCUCAUCAACGGAAGAGGCCAGUACAAUUGCUCUCUAGCCGCCCACGUUACCAACUCCUCCUCUCCCCAGUGCCAAUUCCGUGGAAAUGAACAAUGUUCACCCCAGAUCCUCCAUGUGCAGCCCCAUAAAACUUACAGGCUCAGGGUCUCCAGCACCACCGCACUCGCUUCACUGAAUUUGCAAAUUGGGGUACUAACCAUAUCACUCUAUUUUCUCCCUUCUGUCAACUUUUCUUUAUGAAUCUAUGCCUCAAGUGAUAAGAUAUUCUGAUUGCAAUUGGGUGGUUGACACGUAACAAAUAAAGAAUGAAAGAACCACCCUAUUGGCCCUUGGGGGGACUGCCUACACAUAUUAUACUAUUUUAGGAAGAUAGUGGUCACACUCGACCAAACCCACCAAGUCGUAAAGUAUUAGAAAAUAUCACUCUUAUCAUGACAAUUUGUCAAUAAGAUACGGAAUUGAGGAUGUGAAAUAAAGUUCGAAAAGAAGAAAAAAGUUAGGAUAAGAUAAUAGAAAAUAAGCAAAAAGUAAGAAGCUUUUCCUGUUGCAAUUAUUUUUUUAUUUUAAAAAAUAUAAAGUAAUAUGCCCAAAAAGCAAAAAAAAAAAAAAAAAAAAAUUAGUCAAAAAGCCUGGUUGAAAAUUUUGCUUCAUAGAUUGGCGUGACGGCAAUAGUUGUGAGUUAAUUAAACGUGGGAUAAAAAUAAGAAAAUGACACUUAAAUUAUUCACUUCACGACAUAGCUACAUUCUUUUCUAUUGGUACUUCUUUUUCUCUCUCAUGCAUAAAAGGUGGGAAUCGAGAAUCGAUUCCCUAUGAAAAUUUGAUUUUAAAUUUUGUGAUGCUCAUGCCUUAUACAUAUGUAUUAUUGAUUGAGAAAUUCAACCAGAAGCAUUUAUUAGUUCAUGGAAGUGGUCUUUAAAAAAUGUCCAUGUCAAAGGUAAAGGGAAUUGUUCUCUUUAGUAUUAUUUGCUGACAGCGGUUCAACAUGCCUACUGUCCUUCUCCCCCAACUUGGACGUUUUUGUCCCAAAAUGCAUAUGGUGCAUGUGACUUGCCCGGUCCAUUUUGUUUAAAAAUAUCUUCUUGUGGUCCUCUACAACUGUGAGAAUUAUAUUCUUCACGUUAAACCAUCCUACUUGAUGGUGGCUUCAUCUGACCACUAAAGACUUUAUUGAUUGAAUUACACAGACCUCAUUGUAUAUAUAGGUAUAGGACCCAUGAUGAUUUUGACAUUUUAAGACUUUUUUUUUCUACUUUUUUGACACUUCGAAAUUUAUCCUACAACUUUUUUCUCAGAAGUAUUAUUUUUCAUUUUGAUACUUUUUUCUUGAAUGACUUCCAGAUAAAGUCUUCAUUGAAACAUAAAGCUUAGAAUAUUUGUACAUACACGAAACAUACCCCAAAUUUCAGAAAAGCUUGAAUUAGAUACAUCAGGAAAAUGGGUUCAAAGUUGGAUAGAAAGAGAUUCAAAACAAUAGGACCGGUCCUAUGAUUUAGCAGACAAAAUAUUCUGAAUUUCAGAAAAUUUACACUAAAUAUGAACACCUGCGUAAGUAAAACUUUCCAUAAGAAGUUCUGUAUUGCUCCUUUUAUGUCACACACCAUGUGUUUUGUCUUCUUCUGAUUUGAAAUAAACAUCAUGCCUUGUUGAACCGUAAGUUGAAAAGAGGAGACAUAGCUGGUGAGUCUAGUACUACUAUUUUUUACUGUUCACAUGUGAUUGGGCAGUGCUAGAUUUGGCUUUGUCGUUGCUCCAUCCAUGAAUGCACUGGAUCUGGUGGAGCCAACUAGAGCUUACGGGGGCCAUGUGCCUCUGAAAAUAUAAAAACAAAAAACACCUCCCGUACUUCUUGCAGUAGGGGGACUCCAACCCAUAAAAAACUACCUCCACUUCUUGGAAUUGAAGACUCGAACCCAAGACCGUUAUUGCACCUAACAAUGACAAGCUAGACCGUUGGACUAACAGAUGCAUGUGCUAAAAAGUGCUCCUUUGAACUGAACUGCCGGCUCCACAGUGAAAGGUAGAUUUUUAUUGUUUAUUCUUCACUAGGCAUGCGGUGUGAUUUGAAAUUGAGGUUAAUGUGCCAUUCUUUAUCCUUUUUAAAUUUAAUUUUCCUUUUUCAAUGUCUUUGUUUAUAUAUACUUAUUAAGUUGUUUUAAGAAAAAGUAAUUUUAAGGUAAUGAUUUUGUUUCCACCAACUUGUAAAUGUAACUGAGAUUGACGCAUUCAUUUGUUAUUAUGCUGUUACAUAGAAUCACAAGAUGGUGAUGGUGGAAGCAGAUGGAAACUAUAUUCAGCCAGUGGCAGUGGAUGACUUAGACAUUUACUCUGGAGAGAGCUACUCUGUUUUGAUCCACACUGACCAAGACCCCUCCAAGAACUACUGGAUUUCAGUUAGUGUAAGAGGAAGAGAGCCCAAGACUCCUCAAGGCCUCACCAUUCUCAACUACCAAACAACUUCAGCUUCAAAGCUCCCAACAUCUACACCUCCAGUGUCUCCUCUUUGGAAUGACUACAACCACAGCAAAUCUUUCUCCAACAAAAUCCUGGCCCUCAUGGGCUCCCCCAAGCCUCCAACCACCUACAACCGCAGAAUCAUCCUCCUCAACACUCAAAACACUAUCAAUGGAUUCACCAAAUGGGCUAUCAAUAAUAUAUCCCUAACAUUGCCUCCAACUCCUUAUUUGGGUGCCAUUAAGCAUCGUUUGAGCAACGCUUUCGAUCAGAAGAGUCCACCAGAGAACUUUCCCAACGAUUAUGAUGUGAUGAAACCUCCAACAAACACUAACUCGACAUAUGGGAAUGGGGUGUACAUGCUUGAGUUUAGGACAACGGUCGACGUGAUUCUUCAAAAUGCCAAUGCAUUAGCAACAGGUGUCAGUGAAAUACACCCUUGGCACCUGCAUGGUCAUGAUUUUUGGGUGUUGGGAUAUGGAGAAGGAAAGUUUAGGGAAAAGGAUGCGAAGAGGUUUAACUUAAAGAAUCCACCAUUGAGGAAUACUGCAGUGAUAUUCCCUUUCGGAUGGACAGCUCUUAGGUUUGUGGCGGAUAAUCCUGGGGUUUGGGCAUUUCACUGCCACAUUGAGCCUCAUUUGCAUAUGGGAAUGGGAGUGGUCUUUGCCGAAGGUGUUCAUCUGGUCAAAGAUGUACCAAACCAUGCUCUUGCUUGUGGCUUGACCGGGAAAAUGUUGAUGAGUAACUACAGUCACCACUGAGAAUAGCUAGCUGGCAACCUAGCUGAAGCUAUCUUCAAUUUUUGUGUGGUACAUACAUGCAAUUAAAAGCCUAUUUAUUUAGUUGGAAAACUGAGAACCAAAUUCUAUUUGAAGAGAGAUUUAGUCUUGUGUUUGGUUUCUUAUGUUUUGGCAAUGGUUGUGAUAUUUAAUGUAUGACAAGUAAAUUUUCCACAAUUGCACUUUGAAUUACUAUAAAACUAGAUUCCCAUCUCGUUUAUAGGGGUUGAAGUAGGACUGAUUCAUGAGAUCAACUUACAUGCUCAAUCCAUUCAAAUAGGGUGUGUUAGCAUGAAUAGCCAUGUGUUGAGUGGCAAUUGAUAUGGUCUGGAUUUAGGAGUCCUUCGAGAGUGAUAUUCAUAAAAGUGCUUUCAGUAUGUAGCGUUUUUUGUAAUGGUAUAUAUAGCAAAAAAAAAAAAAAGUGCUUUAGUAUUUUAGAAGUACAUAACAAGUGCUAAUCCAAAAAUUACUUAAAAUUUUAAAAGUGAUUUUAAUAACAUUGAUAAAUGUCUAAUAUUUAAAAGAAAAACCUUUUUGGCUGCAUUUAGUAGGUAGGGUUAAAUGGUGGGCUAGGAUUUUUUUUUUUUUUUUUUGAUAGAUAAACAGUCAAAUAUAUUAGAAGAGGCUAAAAAAGCCGCAUGUAUACAGGGGGUAUACUAAACAGCCCCAAAAGAGGCUGGAACAUCAACAAAAAAGGUUAAAAACCUCACCCACCCUCAAGUGGUCCCAAGCCACUCCAAAAAGCCUAACAGAGAGUAGGUUUCCUCACCAAUGUACACCUUAGCCCAACCCCACAAAUUACAAACAAAAGAAUUCUUGAAUUUCUAAAUAUCUAAAGACCCUCCCCUAAACACUAUCCUAUUCCUUUCCUUCCAAACCGUCCAAAAAAUGCACAGCGGUAUGGAAUUCCAUAUUUUUUUUCUUUUUUUUCCCACAAAAGAACCCCUCCAACUAUGAAGCACCUCUAUAACCGACUCUGGGAACACCCAUUGAACUCCGAAAAUGACAAGGGUAAUCUCCCAAAUAGUUUUAACCACUGUACAAUGUAAGAGAAUAUGAUUCGCAUUUUCCUCUUCGCAUCCACAUAAAUAACACCGAUUAGGUAGCUGCCAUCCCCUUCUUUGAAGCUUAUCCAAAGUGAGGAUCUUCCCCCACGCUGCCUCCCAAGCAAAAAAAGACACUUUUGUUGGAACCCUAUCCAUCCAAAUGCGUCUAUUCGGAAAAGCACCAACUGAGUAGCCGCUCAAACUUCUGUAGGCCCCCUUGGCCCCAAAAACGUCGUUGCCUUCCCGCUUCCAUCUCACUGAGUCCUCCUCCUGAGAAAUCCUGAAAUCCUUCAGAAGAUUCAGCAUUUCUCCUAUCUGAUCUAUCUCCCAAUCAUUGAAAUCUCUAGCCAAACUGAGAUUCCACCCUCCUUGCCCCAAACUAGAAUCCCACACUUCGCAAACUUUGGCAUUCUUAUGACCCGCCAAGGUAAACAACUGAGGAAAAGUUUGAGAAAGCGCCUCAUUGCCACACCACUUAUCCAUCCAAAACAAAACUCUAUUCCCCUUCCCAACCUUAAGGUCCAUGCUCUCCCAACACCACUCCGCCUCUUUCAUUAUCUCCUUCCACAACCCCACCCCAUAAGGCCCACAAACUUCCUUAGUCCUCCACCCACAUCCCUCUUGACCAUAUUUCACCCCUAUCGCCUUUUUCCAUAGGUUAUCCUUCUCAUAGGCAUAUCUCCAUACCCAUUUGCCCAACAAUGUUUUGUUCAACAAAUCUAUCUUUCGGAUGCCUAAUCCCCCCUCCUCCUUAGGGCUGCAAACCACUUGCCAAUUAAUCAAAUGAACUUUCCCCUCCAAGCUUCCUCCCCCCCACAAGAAAUCUCUUUGGAUUUUUUCAAUCCUUUUUGCCACCACCUUAGGAAUUCGAAUAAGUGAAAGGAGGUAGAUGGGUAUGCUGGCCAAGGUGCUCUUAAUAAGAGUAAUUCUUCCCCCCUUGGAGAUAUAUUGCCUUUUCCACUGGGCCAAUCUUCUUCUCAUUCUCUCUUCCACCCCAUCCCAAGAAGAGGCGUUUUUAUGAUUGGCUCCAAGGGGCAGCCCCAAGUAAACAGCGGGUAAAGCCCCCAAUUUACAACCCAGCUCAGCCGCCAAUUCCUCCAUCCCAUCCACUUCCCCCACCGGAAUAAGGACACUCUUAGCCAGAUUAAUUCUCAAGCCGGAGGCAGCCUCAAACCACGCCAAAAUCCAGCUUAGAUUGGUCAGUUGCUCUCUUCUAGCUUUGCAAAAAAUUAGAGUGUCGUCAGCAAAGAGGAGGUGCGAAACAGUCAGCUCAUCCCCCCCUCUCCCCCGCAUCCUACAGCCUGAAAUAAAGCCCCCUUCACCAGCCCGUCUAAUCAUGGUGCUAAGCACUUCCAUACCCAAAACAAAAAGAUAAGGAGAGAGGGGAUCUCCNNNNNNNNNNNNNNNNNNNNNNNNNNNNNNNNNNNNNNNNNNNNNNNNNNNNNNNNNNNNNNNNNNNNNNNNNNNNNNNNNNNNNNNNNNNNNNNNNNNNUUUUUUUUUUUUUUUCCCACAAAAGAACCCCCUCCAAUUAUGAAGCACCUCUAUAACCGACUCUGGGAACACCCAUGAAACUCCGAAAAUGACAAGGGUAAUCUCCCAAAUAGUUUUAACCACUGUACAAUGUAAGAGAAUAUGAUUCACAUUUUCCUCUUCGCAUCCACAUAAGUAACACCGAUUAGGUAGCUGCCAUCCCCUUCUUUGAAGCUUAUCCAAAGUGAGGAUCUUCCCCCACGCUGCCUCCCAAGCAAAAAAAGACACUUUUGUUGGAACCCUAUCCAUCCAAAUGCGUCUAUUCGGAAAAGCACCAACUGAGUGGCCGCUCAAACUUCUGUAGGCCCCCUUGGCCCCAAAAACGCCGUUGCCUUCCCGCUUCCAUCUCACUGAGUCCUCCUCCUGAGAAAUCCUGAAAUCCUUCAGAAGAUUCAGCAUUUCUCCUAUCUGAUCUAUCUCCCAAUCAUUGAAAUCUCUAGCCAAACUGAGAUUCCACCCUCCUUGCCCCAAACUAGAAUCCCACACUUCACAAACUUUGGCAUUCUUAUGACCCGCCAAGGUAAACAACUGAGGAAAAGUUUGAGAAAGCGCCUCAUUGCCACACCACUUAUCCAUCCAAAACAAAACUCUAUUCCCCUUCCCAACCUUAAGGUCCAUGCUCUCCCAACACCACUCCGCCUCUUUCAUUAUCUCCUUCCACAACCCCACCCCAUAAGGCCCACAAACUUCCUUAGUCCUCCACCCACAUCCCUCUUGCCCAUAUUUCACCCCUAUCGCCUUUUUCCAUAGGUUAUCCUUCUCAUAGACAUAUCUCCAAACCCAUUUGCCCAACAAUGUUUUGUUCAACAAAUCUAUCUUUCGGAUGCCUAAUCCCCCCUCCUCCUUAGGGCUGCAAACCACUUGCCAAUUAAUCAAAUGAACUUUCCCCUCCAAACUUCCUCCCCCCCACAAGAAAUCUCUUUGGAUUUUUUCAAUCCUUUUUGCCACCGCCUUAGGAAUUCGAAUAAGUGAAAGGAGGUAGAUGGGUAUGCUGGCCAAAGUGCUCUUAAUAAGAGUAAUUCUUCCCCCCUUGGAGAUAUAUUGCCUUUUCCACUGGGCUAAUCUUCUUCUCAUUCUCUCUUCCACCCCAUCCCAAGAAGAGGCGUUUUUAUGAUUGGCUCCAAGGGGCAGCCCCAAGUAAACAGCGAGUAAAGCCCCCAAUUUACAACCCAGCUCAGCCGCCAACUCCUCCAUCUCAUCCACUUCCCCCACCGGAAUAAGGACACUCUUAGCCAGGUUAAUUCUCAAGCCGGAGGCAGCCUCAAACCACGCCAAAAUCCAGCUUAGAUUGGUCAGUUGCUCUCUUCUAGCUUUGCAGAAAAUAAGAGUGUCGUCAGCAAAGAGGAGGUGCGAAACAGUCAGCUCAUCCCCCCCUCUCCCCCGCAUCCUACAGCCUGAAAUAAAGCCCCCUUCACCAGCCCGUCUAAUCAUGGUGCUAAGCACUUCCAUACCCAAAACAAAAAGAUAAGGAGAGAGGGGAUCUCCUUGCCGCAGCCCCUUUGAGUUCGAAAAGAAACCAGCUGGAACCCCAUUGAUUAAUAUAGAGAAUUUGGCGGUAGAAAUACACCACCUCAUCCAUUCCUCCCACCGAGACCCAAAUCCCAUCUUCCGAAGAACCUUCAUAAGGAAGUUCCAAUUGAUACUAUCAUAAGCUUUUUCAAUGUCCAACUUACAUAUCAACCCUUUCUCUUUUCUUUUAUACCAAUAAUCAAUCACCUCAUUAGCUACUAGAGAAGCAUCCAAAAUCUGUCUCCCUCUCACAAAGGCGUUUUGGUCAACUGAGACCACUCUGUCCAGCACUUUCUUUAGCCUAUUUGCUAGGACUUUGGCUAAAAGUUUAUACAAACUCCCAAGCAAACUAAUUGGCCUAAAGUCCCCCAAGUCAUCAGCUCCUCCUUUCUUGGGAAUAAGGACCAAAAAGGUGGUAUUAAGAGACUUGGCAAAGGAUUCAUACUCAAAGAAUUCCUUAAACAGUUUCAUCACCUCCUCCUUCACCACAUCCCAGCAAUCUUGCCAAAAGGCCAUUGUGAACCCAUCCGGACCUGGAGCUUUAUCACCCCUCAUCUCCAUUAGUGCAAAAUGAAUUUCCUCCUCAGAGAAGGGCACCUCCAAAUUUUCAGCUUCCCGGGAAUUAAGCUGUUUGAGCUGCAGGCCCUCAAUAUCUGUUCUCCACCCCGGCUCUUCUGAAAGUAAAUUCUGGAAAGCAUUCACUAUCCCCUCCCUCACCUCUUGAUCCUCAGUCAGCAACUCCCCAUUAAUUGUAAUCCUAUCCAAAGAAUUAUUCCUGCGAUGAGCAUUGGCCAUACGAUGAAAAUAACCGGUAUUCCUAUCCCCUUCCUUUAGCCACAGCUCCCUAGAUUUCUGCCUCCACUGAAUUUCCUCCAUUAGCACCCAUUUAUAAAAGACAUGGCUAGGAUUUUGAAAAAUUAUCAACUACUUUGGUAUUGAUGCAAGCAAGAAACAAAGGUAAUGUGUACAACAACAAAGAAAUGAAGAAGUUUCUUAUUUUCUAUAUCCAAAAAUGUAUAGGCAGGUGAGUAUUUAUAUACAAAAAACUUAGCAAAAUGAUAGCUGAAAAAUAACAAACUACAAACUAAAAAACUCAUUGCUAACUAACUAAAAUUAAGUUGCGACUUAACUACUAACUUUCUGUACAUCCUCCCUGCAAGUUGGAGCUUGGUGAAAAUCAAACAAGCCUUACUUGGACAACAAAAAUGAAAAAGUAGGAGCAGAUAAAGCUUUUGUGAAUAUGUUUGCAAUGUGAAGCUUUGAAGAAAUGUGAUGAGGUAAAAUAAAUCCUUGCUUGAAUUUAUCUUGAACCAAGUGACAAUCAAUCUCCAAAUGUUUGGUACGAUCUAAAAUACAAGAUUAGUUGUAAUGUGGAGAGUUGCAUGGUUGUCACACUAAGGAGGAAUAGAGAGAGAAGGAAGAAAACCAAAAUCUUGUAAGAGAUAAGAUAUCCAUUGCAAUUCACAAACAGUGGAAACCAUGCUUCUAUAUUUAGCUUUAGCAGAAGAACGGGACACAGUAGUUUGUUUCUUGGUUUUCCAAGAAAUCAAAGUUGAUCCAAAGAAAAUACAAUAACCAGUAAGAGACCUUCUAGUAUCAAUGCAAGAGGCCCAAUCAACAUCACAAUAAGCUUGAAGCUUAAAAGAAUUACUAGAAAGGAAAAAUAUUCCUUCAAAGUGACAACCCUUGAGAUAGUGUAGAGCAUGUAAGGCAGCAUCCCAAGAGCUUGGCAAGGAGCAUGAACAAAUUGACUUAGUUGUUGAACAACAUAAGUAAAAUCAGGUCAAGUAAAUCCCAAAUAGAGAAGACCUCCAAUUAUUCUUCUAUAUUUGUCUAGAUUGGAGAGUAAAGAGCCCAUAGUUGUAGAAAAUUUGUGGCCUGGAGGAAGUGGAGUAGUAGCAGGUUUGACGCCUAAUAAACCUGUGUCCUUAAGAAUGUCCAUAACAUACUUUCUUGAUUGAUAUAAGUACCAGUAGUAGAACGAGCUAUCUCAAGACUAAGAAAAUACUUGGCAUAACCAAGAUCUUUAACUGUAAAUUGAGAAUAUAGAAAUUGCUUAACAGCAACAAUAUCAUCCUCAUUAGUUACUAUGACUAAAACAUCAUCCACAUAGAUAAUCAAGGCUAGAAAAACAUGGUCUGAUUGUUUGACAAACAAACAAUUAUCAUGAACUAACUGAUGAAAACCAAAUUGUUUCAAUUUUAUAGUAAAUUCAUAAUUCCACUACCUAGAUGCCUGUUUAAGAUCAUAUAGAGAUUGUUUAAGUUUACAUACUUGACUUGGUAUGGCAUUAGUAUAACCUUCUAGAGGCUGCAUAUAGACUUUUUUCAUCCAAAUAAUCAUGCAAGAAAACAUUGUUGAUAUCUAAUUGAUGAAUUGGCCAAGACUUUGUAGUAGCAAUAGCUAGUAACAACUUGAUGAUAACAAGCUUAGCAACAGGUGAAAAAUUGUCAAAAUAAUCUAUCCAUUCUAUUUUAUUAUAACCUUUUGCCUCUAGUCUUGCUUUAAACAUAUCAACACUACCAUCAGGUUUAAGUUUAACCUUGUAGACCCAUUUGGAACCAAUGGCUUUCUUACCCACAGGUAAACUUUUUAAAUCCCAAGUAUGAUUAUCCUCUAGAGCAGCAAGCUCUUUGUUCAUUCCUACAACCCAUUUUGCAUGAACGCUAGCCUGUUUAUAAGAAAUUGGUUCGGGAAAAGCUAUAAGAAGUAAUGAAUGGAAAAAUGUUGGGUGUUUAGGAAGAAGUAGGAUCAAGAGUUGUGAUUGAAGAAGCAUUGUUAGUAGAUGAAGUAAUAGAAUCUAUAAUAUUUGAAACAAAGUCAUUCAACCAAGUUUGUUUCCUUUUAACUUGAGUACUGUGCCUUGGAGAUAAAACAAGAGGAAUAGAUAUAGAAGUAGAGAGCAAGACAGGUAGAGUAGAUAUAGAUGAAUCAUAAUGUGUAGAGGAAUGAGAAAUAGAAAGAACAUCACUCCUUAUUUAGGUACCUAAAUAAUCCUCCUCAACACUCAAAACACUAUCAAUGGAUUCACCAAGUGGGCUAUCAAUAAUAUAUCCCUAACAUUGCCUCCAACUCCUUAUUUAGGUGCCAUUAAGCAUCGUUUGCAAAACGCUUUCGAUCAGAAGAGUCCACCAGAGAACUUUCCCAACGAUUAUGAUGUGAUGAAACCUGCAACAAACACUAACUCGACAUAUGGGAAUGGGGUGUACAUGCUAGAGUUUAGGACAACGGUCGACGUGAUUCUUCAAAAUGCCAAUGCAUUAGCCACAGGUGUCAGUGAAAUACACCCCUGGUCAUGAUUUUUGGGUGUUGGGAUAUGGAGAAGGAAAGUUUAGGGAAAAUGAUGCAAAGACGUUUAACUUGAAGAAUCCACCAUUGAGGAAUACUGCAGUGACAUUCCCUUUCGCAUGGACAGCUCUUAGGUUUGUGGCGGAUAAUCCUGGGGUUUGGGCAUUUCACUGCCACAUUGAGCCUCAUUCGCAUAUGGGAAUGGGAGUGGUCUUUGCUGAAGGUGUUCAUCUG
rnacentral:lncRNA from 1 species